rnacentral:lncRNA from 1 species
AGAACAAAAACGUUACAAGAGGUACCUAAUGCUUAAUCUUCUAAUCACUGGAUCGACAUUGGACAUUGACCUAAGUUAUCGGGGUAUGAAUGAACUUUAGACAACCAUUAAUCAAUUGCUCUUAUCAAGGGCAAUGGAUUCAUGGGGGUCUUGGGUUUAAAAGCCCCAAAAUCUGCUAGAAAAUUGGAAGAUUAGGGUUCCAGAAACAUAGAUUUAAGAUUCCAGCAAAAUAAGCCCGAUCCGGAGGAGGCUAAUGGUGGUUUAGGGUGCAGAGAGGGCAAGGAUUAUAGGGUGUUAAUUUGGAACGAUUUGGAAUAUUUUGGGGGNNNNNNNNNNNNNNNNNNNNNNNNNNNNNNNNNNNNNNNNNNNNNNNNNNNNNNNNNNNNNNNNNNNNNNNNNNNNNNNNNNNNNNNNNNNNNNNNNNNNNNNNNNNNNNNNNNNNNNNNNNNNNNNNNNNNNNNNNNNNNNNNNNNNNNNNNNNNNNNNNNNNNNNNNNNNNNNNNNNNNNNNNNNNNNNNNNNNNNNNNNNNNNNNNNNNNNNNNNNNNNNNNNNNNNNNNNNNNNNNNNNNNNNNNNNNCUUCUCUUACUUUUUUUUAACAAACAUAAGGGGUUGGGGGGGUUGGGCAUGAAUCUCAGAUUUGAAAUUCAAGAUUCAUGGUGGUAAUUUGAAAGAAACGAAUUAGAGAUUUGGAACGAGAAGGGGAUGGAGGUUCUGUGGUGUUAAAUUAGUGGUAUUUGGGAUAUCGGAACCGCCGUGAGGAGAUUUUCUGCGGUUGUUUGAUGGCGGAGGUGGUGGAGAAUAUGAAGGCAACUAGGGUUUCUUAUUUGAGGGUAUGAGAGAGAGGAAAUAGUCUUAUGUUAAGGGUUUUGGGGGGUUGACCGAUUUUAGGAUAGUAAUAUAGUUAGUGGGAGGUGAGUUCCCAUUCGUUCGAUCAAACGAUAUCAACAUAUGUGUAUGGAAAGACGUCGUUUGGCUUCAGAUGGGGUUUGGACCGGGUAUGAAUGGUUUGGGCUUGGGUUUGAGAGGUGUUUGUGAUGGGUUUUUUGGCUUAAAAAUCGGCAACAAUUUCAAAAUUAAGCCCUUUUGAAUUUACCUCUUUAUUUUCCUUUUAUUUUCUUUGUCCUUCUUUUUUUUUAACUAAAAAUCUUUAAUUAAAAAACCUAAAUUAACCUAAAAUAUGAAAUUAAACUAAUUACCUAAUUAAAAAAAUCAUAAAAUCACUUAAUCCUAAAUUAAAAGUAAAAAAAUCAAUAAUCUAAAAAUAAAAAAGAAAAAAUUAAAAAAUGGACCCUUUUUGUGAUUUUCAUUUUUAAUAAAAAAAAUAAUUAAUUAAUUAGUCCUAAAAAUGUAUAGAGAAAUCCAAUUGAAAUGCAUGGUAUUUUUGGCAUUUUCAUGAUUUUAAUAAAAAUUAAACGUGCAGAAAAACGCAAACAAUUAAUAAGAAUUCUGCAAAAACUCAUAUAAAAUAGCAAAUAACUGGAAAAUUUUAUUUUUUUAGAUUUUAUUUGGAGUAAUACAUGUAGGGAAAAAUCACAUGCUCACAGUUACCCUUCUUUGAUCGAAGACAACGAAGGGUUUUUGGGCAAAGAUAAAAAUGAGCAUUUACGAAGAAUUCUUGCCUAUUUGAAACUCCAUGAGAAGUAACUUUGGAAAGAGUCUGACCGAACCUUGCUCCGGAGAUUGCCUACAUAUCCUUGGUUAUAAAGGAAUGGGGUCAAUGUAGUUUUGGAAGUUUUGAUAGCUGGGGCUAUCGGGAAAUUGUAAUUUCACUAUUGUUGCUGCUAUUUUUACUUGCUGAGCUCCUUAUUAUACUGAAAUAAAGAUGAAAAGCUAACUGCUAAACCUAUCAAUUGUGAGUUACAAGAUACAUAUCUAUAAACCUUCGAAAUCUUGAUCGGGAGUCUUGGUUAGUUCUUCCCACAAACUCUGACCUGAACCUUGAUAAUUGUUAAUUAUGGCUGCUGAUUCAUUCUUCUUCAGCUUUUCGGAUCGAGGCUGGACUUGGAAAGCUUGUGACAUCAAUCACGUCUUGAGCAGUCCAUAUCUUUUCAUUGUUUUCGCUCUUUGAGUUCAACUUCUUUCUUUAUUCUUCCUUCCUCUUCUUUUGGUCAUCUCAAACCAUGUGCCUCAUGGUAAAAACAUUUUCAAGCACCAAAGCAAACAAAAGAACGAAAUUUUCUGCCCUAGUUUUCACAAGAAAAAUUUCGUGAGUUAUUUGUAACAAAAUCUAAACUAUUUCUUUAUUGAAAGCAAUAAAAUUCGGAUAAAGUAUCCUUGGAAAAAGGAGAUUACGGAGUGGAGCACUAUGUGUAUAAUGAAAUCACCUAGGGAGUGGAGACCCUAUGUUGGAAAAGAGACCAGUGAAUGGAGACCCUAUAUCUAAACUAAAAUCAACUAGGAAGUGGAGACUCUAUAUUAGAAAAGCGACUAGGGAGUGGAGAUCCUAUGUCUAAAAUAAAAUAAACUAGGGAGUGGAGACCCAAUGUUGGAAAAGCGACUAGGGAGUGUAGAUCCUAUGUCUAAAAUAAAAUCAACUACAUAAUGGAGACCCAAUAUUGGUAAAGCGACUUGGGAGUGGAGACCCUAUGUCUAAAAUGACUUCAACUAGGGAGUGGACACCCCAUGUUGGAAAAGGACUAGGGAGUAGACCCUAUGUCUAAAAUAAAAUCAACUAGGGAGUAGAGACCCUAUGUUGGAAAAAUGACUAGGGAGUGGAGACCCUUUGUCUAAAAUAACUUCAACUAGGGAGUGGUGACCCUGCGUUGGAAAAGCGAUUAGGGAGUGGAGACCCUAUGUCUAAAAUAAAAUUAACUAGAGAGUGGAGAAACUAUGUUGGAAAAGCGAUUAGGGAGUGGUGACCCUAGGUCUUAAACAAAAUCAACUAGGGAGUGGAGACCCUAUGUUGGAAAAGCAACUAGGGAGUGGAGACCCUAUGUCUAAAAUUACUUCAACUAGGGAGUGGAGACCCGAUGUUGGAAAAGCGACUAGGGAGUGUUACACCUCCUUUUUACUUACACAUGGCUACCCCGAAGGAUGACACGUGUAUAGGAGUUUUUCCAAUUAAAGUGACUUCGAAAUGGGAUUAAUCUUUUAUUCAAGAGUCGCCACUUGGAAUAAGUUUGACUUUUGGUGUCUCAAGUCACCGAUUUAUUUAAAAUUCCAAAUCCAGGAUAUUUUGACUGCCCAAAGGAGUCUGCGAACCAGAAAUUCUAAGUAAGGAAUUCUGUUGACCCGAGGAAGCUAUUAGGGACCCUCGGUUCCCGUGGUUCUAGCAAGGUCGCUUAAACUCUUAUAAUUGGCUAACAAUUCUGAUUUUGUACAUGUUCCACCUAUAGUGUAAUUUUAAAUUUUAAACCGCUUUAACUUAAUUGAUUAAAGAAAGAUUGCAACACUAUACAAAUAUGUCUCGAAUCGCGUCACAUAAAUGCGCCCGCGAUCUUCGACAUAUUUUAACAUUGUUGAGAUUUUGGAUUUGGGUCACAUAAAUGCACAUCCGAAUUUACAAUUACGUAUCAUAAUUAGGUCAUGGGGACCGUACAAUAAUCACAAUAGUUUGAUUUAUUAGGCGCAUGCUUAAAGCAUUUUCAACGAAUGCUUCAAGUGUUGAUUGUUUCGUAUGCACUUGAAUUUAUUUGUAAAAAUCUAAAAGUUUAGGAAGUUUUUCGGAAGGAAAGAAGUGGAUUGAUUAUGUUAGGAGGAUCUAGUUUGUGAAUUGUCAUAAAAACAGGCUAACUCUAAAAUAGAUCAACAAUGUUAUUAUUGAUAUGGGCCUACCAUAAUUUCUGUUUUUUAGCCAAAAUUCUUUUACUCCAAAAUUAAACCCAUAAUCAAUAUGAAAGUCCAAACCUUUAACUUACUCCUUGCAACUUUCCCCAUAUAUUUAUAUUAGAUUAAAAUAUUCUUGCAAAAAAGAAAAAAACAAACUAAAAAUCUAAUCAACGUUUAAACAAAGAAAAAUCAAAAGAAACAGUGGCAUGAUUUCAUGUAAUUAUUAAAUAAGAUAUAAUAACAGUAAAAGAAAGAAGCAACAGUGGGACUCGAACUGAACAUCAAUUCAAACAAUAAUAGGCCUUCUUAAAUGCAUAAAGCUCUAUUUUUAACUUUAAACAAAGAUUCAGUAUAGAAAUGACAAAAUUAAGCAAUAGGAUAUCAUUUAAGCUCAUUCAACUGCUAAACAGAUUCAACAAAGAAAUUAAACAAAAGCGACAUGUAGAGUGAUAUCAAUCAAACGGGGAAUAGAUAAACAGAAGUAGACCUGAAUAGACUUGCGAGAAAAAGAAACGAACAUAAUUGGUGGAAUCCAACAAUCCACAGGAACGGUGACCUCCAAACGGACCUCACAUCUAUUGGGUUUGGAUGGUUCUUUCAAGCUACUUUUCGUGCCGGUUUGGGGUUGAUUAAGGUUUUUUUUAAGCUAGUUUCAAACUAAAAUUUGUGGAGAAUUUUACUUAUUUUUCAGUGAAGAAGCAGUUGAGUUUCUGCUGUUGUGAGGAAUUUCUCAGCUCACUUCCAUGGCUUAGGUAGCUUUGUUGAAAGAGAGAAAGAGCAUCAAUGGGCGUAGGAAAUGGAGCACAAUUUUUUGAGGGUGAGAAUGAAGAGAGACCCCCCUUUUGUGCUAGCUGCUCUCUUCUUUUUGUAUUAGAGUGUAUGUAUUAUUAUAUAGUGUAGGGAUUAGGUUAGGGGUAUGGGCCUACGGAUUAUGUGCUAUGGAAUAGACUUUGGUUAUAUGAGUUUGGGUAGAAAAAUUAUGAUUUGGGCUAAUUUGAUUUAAAAAUGGGCCAAUUGUUCAAAUUAAAAUCUCAUUGCAAUUAAAUGCUUAUUCUCUUCUCUUACUUUUUUUUAACAAUCAUAGAAAUUAAAAAUUCUAAAUUAAUCGAUUUUUUUUGUAGAAAUUAAAACUCCUUAUUUACUUUUUUUUUAACAUUAAAACAACUACUUAACUUAAACCUGAGAAAAAAAUACUAAUCUAAAGACUAAGGUAAAUAUGUAAAAAUGACCCAUUUUUUAGGAUUUUUCUAUAAUUUAAAAAUAUUAAAAAUGCAUGAAAUGAAAAAUAAACAAAGAUAAAAUUUCUAAAAUAAUAAAAAUUAUUUUUGGUCUAUUUUUUAAGAGUUAUUCUAAUUUAGGGCAAAAAUCACGUGCUCACAGUUGCCCAUCUUUGCUCGGAAACACGAAGAGUUUUCGUGCAAAGAUAAAGUGAGCAUAUACAAGCAAUUUUUGCCCGUUUGAAUACUCCAUGAGAAGCAUUUUUAAAAGAUUUGACCGCACCUUGCUUCUGAGGCUGCCUACAUAUCCUUUGCUAUAAAGGAAUCAGGUCAAUGUAGUUCGGGAAGUGAAUGAGAUGAAGGAGUACACCGAGGUGAAGAUCGGGUCGAGAUUCCAUCGAGGUUCCGGUUCGCGGUCCCGUUUAUUACAUCAAAAGCAAAAUUAAAAAGACUAACUAAGCCUAUGAGCUACGAGUUACAAGAUUCCUAUCUAUAAAUAUUUUGAAGCUUUAUCUUGAGUCUUGGCUAGGUCCUGCUGCAGACUCCGAUAUCAAUCUUGAUGCUCGUUAACGGUAGGUGCUGGUUGUUUCAUCAACUUUGGAUCAAAGCGGGACAUGCGAAACUUGUGAUUUUGAAUCAAAUUUUAGCAGUCCGCAUCCUUUUCUUCUUUGAACAUUCUGAGUUCGCUUCUUUUGUUCUUUUCUUCUUUUCCUUUAUUCUGGAUUGAGACUCACGCUUUUAGUCAUCUCGACUCCUGUGCCUUGAGGUAAAACCUGUUCAACACCAAAACAAACAAACGGACGAAAAUUUUCUACCCCAGUUUUCACUGGGAAAAUGUCGUGAGUUAUUUGCAACACAAAUAUAAGCUAUUUCUUUAUUGAAAACAAUAAAAGUCAGGAUUGUGUAUCCUUUAGAAAGAUUGACAGGCUAUGCUGGGAAGGAGAAAAGGUCUCUGCCGGGGAUAAGAGGAGGAUCCACGGGCUAUGCCGGGAUGGGAAUGAAGGGUCCCUGCUGCGGAUGAAAGGAAAAAGCCACGGGUUAUACCAGGAUGAAUUGAAAAAAGAUUCUUGGGUUAUACCAGGGAGAUCCGCGGGUUAUGCCGGGAUGAAUGAAAAAGGUUCCUGAGUUAUACCAGAGAGUCCACGGGUUAUGCCGGGAGAAGAAGGCUCAUGGGUUAUGCCGGGAUAGGAGGAAAAGGGGUCUACUGCGGAUAGAAAGAAAAACGAUCAUCGGGUUAUGCCGGGGAAGAGAAGAAAAAGACCCUCGGGUUAUGCUGGGGAUAAAAGGAAAAUGACCCUUGGGUUAUGCCGGAGGAGAGGAAGAGAAGACCCUCAGGUUAUGCUGGGGUGGAAAAGAAAAGACCCUCGGGUUAUAUCGGGGAGAAAAAUGAAAAGAUGAUCCUCGGGUUUUACCGAGGAGGUCCACGGGUUAUGCCCGGAUAAAAGGGAAAAGGUCUUAUGCUACCAUGAUUUUGGAUUUUUCUCUUUUUAUUCUUUUUUUUGUUUUUUGAAUUAUCGUGGGAGAAAAUUCAUCAGACUAGGUUUUCUAUCUUAGGAGAAAGAUUCAUCAGACUAACAUAUUUAUCCUAGGAGAAAAUUUAUCAGACUAGGUCUCUUUUUUUCUUUUUUUUAAUCUUAGGAGAAAGAUUCAUCAGACUAAGAUUUUGAUCCUAGGAGAAAGUUCAUCAAACUAGGUUCUUUUUUAGUAUCUUAGGGGUAACAUUCAUCAGACUAAGAUUUGGACCCUAGGAGAAAAUUCAUCAAACUGGGUCUAUUUUUUAUCAUUAUCUUAGGAGAAAGAUUCAUCAGACUAAUAUUUAGAUCCUAGAAGAAAAUUCAUCAGACUAGGUGUUUUAUCUUUAGGAGAAAGAUUCAUCCGACUAAGAUUUUGAUCCUAGGAGAAAGUUCAUCAGAUUAGGUAUUUUAUCAUAGGAGAAAGAUUCAUCAGACUAAGAUUUUGUUCUAGGAGAAAGUUCAUCAGACUAGGUCUUUUAUCUUAGGAGAAAGAUUCAUCAAACUAAGAUUUUGAUCCUAGGAGAAAGUUCAUCAGACUGGGUCUUUUAUCUUAGGAGAAAGAUUCAUCAGACUAAGAUUUUGAUCUUAGGAGAAAGUUCAUCAGACUAGGUAUUUUUUGUUUUUGGUAUUUUAGGAGAAAGAUUCAUCACACUAAGAUUUUGAUAGGGAGGAAAAUCCAUCAGACUGGGACUUUUUAUCCUAGGAGGAAAACAAAUGUGAAGAUCAAUGGCAAGAUUUUAUGCCCAUGCAGACAAAUAAAUACCACGAUUUGAGAAACUUACCUUUGCCGGCUCUACUCUUCUUCUCUUUUUCUUCUCUUUUCUUGUUGUUUUUGUUCGUUUUGUUUUUUUUUUCUUUCUUUUUUUUUUGGACCACUUUCCUUGCAUUGCUUUAUUCCUGCUGCAAACAAUGAAAAAUUUGUAAGUUUUUAAAAUGGUGGUCGGUUUGUGGCCUUGAGUCUUGAGUAGCUUGGCUUUUGCUCGAUCACUUGAGUCUGUCUUAAGAGACUUUUGUUCUGCACCAACUCUGAUUGUUUUGUACCUAGUACUAUUUGUAUUUGUGGCUCAAUCAGCCUUGUCCCAAUUAGAGAUCUUGGCUCAGAUGACCUUUUCUGAUAUUUUCAAUGACUUUCUAUUUUUGAGCAAUUUUGUUUGUCAAAGAGAAUCACAAGUUAUCAUUGCUUGCACCAAGUAGUCUGACAAGAGUCUUUUGGGGGAGCCUUUGCAUGAAUGCUCAAGGCAUGCUGAUAGUAACAGAUGAGUGCUGGCCAAAUUUACUUUGUGCAAUUGAAAAGUUGGUAGCAGAUUUUGAAAUCUUUUCUUGCUUGUUUUGACAAGGAUGGACUCAGAGUGAAGGACAAAAUGAUGCAAAGAAAUGAAUAUUAACAAGAAAUGCCCCCUGUCGGAAGGACAGAAUGAAGAGUAUUUUUUUUAAUCUCUUCUUUUAACUAGCCUUUAUGAUCAUGACAUGCAUUUUGGACUCAAUGGCAUGAUUUACCAACUAAUCCAAUCUUCCUUUUUACCAUUCUUAUGAUUUCUGAUGUCGGGCUUGUUUAUGCCAAUUCUUCACAUUAGUUUCAUGCCUCACUUUCGACUAGUGGUGCCCAAGGGGUUUUCACCAGGAAGUUUCUCUCAUCUAUUCAUCUCUGCUUACAGUUGUCUUAUAGUGCCCGUGAUGGUUUUCACUAAUAAGAUUUUCUCAUUUUUCUUUUUCUUUUUUUUCUUUUUCUUUUGCUUUUUCUUUCCUCCCUAUUUUUUUUUUGCGAGCAACUUGACAGUGUUCUAUGUCGUGGGACAACUGGUAUUCUUGAAUGCUCAUCAGGAGGUCUUUAUUUGGAAGGUUUGUGGAUAGGGUUGAACAGAAGGGUCGGCAUGAAGGCUCAAAGUGGACUUCAAAUGAAGGGUUGUGGACUUACAACUCUUGAAAUCGACUCUUUCAAAAGUGAAAUAAAGUGUUUUGCCCAAGUUUCAGAUACUAGGGACAUUUUUAAUUUUUUGUUUUCUUGAAUUCUUAUUUGUUUGGAUCGAACCGUGAGGCUGCCUACAUAUCCUCUUUUUUAAAAGGAAUCUGGUCUAACGUAGUUCAAACAUCUAACCUAAACUGUUUUUCAUCUUUCUUUCUGUUUCUAUUUUCAUUUUUCUCUAUUUUUCUUUUUUUUUCUCUUUUUCUUUCUUCCUUUUUAAAUUUAUUUUUGGUCGCUCUUUUUUUCUUUUUUUUUUGUUUGACCCAACUUCUAUUUUUUGACGGCAUGGACCUUUGACAAUUCUUUUCUUUCUUUUUUUCACUUAGAACCUUCUAAAAGCUGCCCCAGUUUAUACUCUCGGGACAUGUACUUUAUUUCUUUUUAUUUUUCUUUUUUAAUUUCUUUUCGACUCUUGACUCUAAACUUGAUUCCAAAAGAGGGUGGUCAAAGAAAAUAACACAGGCUCAAAGGGGUGAUCAAGGGUAUAAAGUGUUUGCGUAGCAGAAAAAGCGCCUUCCAACCUCGAAAACGCCAAACAUAAUAUCCUUUCGCAAUCAGGGCAUUGAUUAACAUGCCUGUCUUCUUGGUGUGUCGGGGUCACAAGACACUUUCCAUCCCUUACUUCCCAACAAACUUCAAUUGAUUUAACAUCCUCAAUCCAUCUUCACAAUAAUUGAAGGUGAAUUUUACUUGACCUUGAUUUCCAAGUAUUCCAACCCUUUAUUCAUCCUCAAAAGAGUUUCUCUCAGUUUUCAGUUAUCCAAUUUCAGAUUAAAUCAGUUUCUAAGAUCUGGCAAAAGUUUUCGCAUGCAUGUCAUGUUAUUAGAACUAGCACCAAAAGAACUAAGAACGAAAAGACACAAGCUGUAUUUUAUUGAGUAAAGGAUGAAAGGGUUGAUAGAAGGUUUUGAACAAAUAAAAUCUGGAUCACAACCCUGAAAUAACCCAGAUGAUAGAAAAAAAUCAAAACAAGCUACCAAGAUUCCUUCCUAGUGAGGAGGGAAUAACUUUUCAAUUGCUAGGCUUGACAUUUAGCCACAGAUAUGCUCAUUAGAAUCAGCAGAGCCUUCUCCAAUUUCAGUCAGCGAGUUCCCAAGGGGAUUCUCAUAUUCCAUGUCACCAGGCAUCAUCCUUAAAAAGUGUGCAUCAUCAUGUGCAGCUAAUGGAUUUUGUGCGAUAUUCUGAAUGUUGCCAUCAUGGAGAUCAAUCAGAUUUUCCUGGAUCAUCCUCUCUAUUUCUCUUUUCAAAUACCGACAACUUUCAACAUUGUGCCCCCGGGCAUUGGAAUGGUAUUCACACCUUUUAGAAGGGUCAAAGCAUCUUGCACGUGGGUCCACAUGAUUUGGAGGAAUGGGCGCAAUUAUGCCAUAAUGCUUUAAUCUCUCAAAUACACGUGCAUAUGACUCUCCUAUUGGUGUAAAAUUAUAUUUCAACUUUUGUUCCCUUCUAUACCCCUAGCUUAUAUGUGGGUUAUAGGGCACUUGAAAAUUUUGUGGAGGCUGGUAGAGAUUUUGUGAUACUCGUGCUCGCCUUCUUGGGUGAUUUGGUGGCUAGACAACAUACUAAGGUGGAUCAACAUAGUAUGGUUGGUUCUGAGGUGGAUAUUAAUGCUCUGGGGAGUCAUGGAAAACCUGAUGAGGCUGCACAUACCUUCGAGGUGUUCUCCUGGGACCUCUUCUCGACCCUGUUGUGAUCGUGAUUUCUUCAUCCUUCUCAUUUAUAUCACUAAAAUUAUCAGAUUCAACCUGGACAGCCUGAGUUGCGGCUUUAAGAACUGCUUGACUUAAAAUUUUGCAUGUCUUAAGACCAUUCUCGGGUGGAUAAUAUUGCUCAGGGGAGUCAUGGAAAACCUGAGGAGGCUGAUCAUACAUUUGAGAUGUUCCGCUGGGAACUCUUCUCGACCUUGUUGUCAUCAUGAUUUUUUCAUUCUUCUCAUUUAUGUCACUAAAAUUGUCAGAUUCAACCUGGACAGCAUGAGCUGCGGCUUUAAGAACUACUUGACUUAAAAUUUUGCCCGUCUUAAGAUCAUUCUCUACCAUUUUGAUUGCUUCCGAAAAGGAUUUUCCCACUGCAGACAGCAUGUUCUGAAAGUGAUUUGGCUCUUGCGCUUAAAAGAAGACAAUGAUUAGCUCGUGGUCAUCCAUGGGUGGCUUAACCCUAGCUGCUUGCUCACUCCAUCUAAUGGCAUAUUCCUUGAAACUUUCACUUGGUUUCUUCUUCAAGUUUGAAAGGGAAUUGCAGUCUGGGGAAAUGUCAAUGUUGUAUUGAACUUGUUUGACAAAGGCAUGUGCCAUGUCAUCCCAGACGUACCAGUGAGAAGUGUCUUGAUUUAAAAACAGAUGUUACUCCCGUGAGGCUUUCCCCAGAAUAAGUUAUUAGCAGUUCUUCAUUUCUUCCCACAUCUCUCAGCUGAUUGCAAUACGUUUUCAGGUGGGCUAUAGGGUCUCCAUGUCCAUCAUACUUUUCAAAUUUGGGAAUCUUGAAACCAGGCGGCACGUGGACAUCGGGGAAUAUACAUAGAUCUUUGAAGGCAACACUCUUUUGACCAGCCAACCCUUGCAUGUUUUUUAACCAUUGUUCUAAGCUUUUUACCAUUUGGGUUAUUUCUUCCGGUACAUUUUUUGGGCGGGCUUCUCAAUCUUUGCAGGAAGAUCAAAUAGAAACGAGUGGUAUUCAGGAGAGUGGAAUUGCUCUUGCUGUGUACCAAAUUGUUACACAUGACAAGGUUCCCUUUGGCCAUUGGCUCAUGCUUGACACAUUUUGGUUAUUUGUUGUUUUAGUAUUUCAUUUUUCUCACCCAUAGUAGACUCUUGUUGGACCUUCUGACCCUCAGUCUCUUGAACACUUGUUACAGCUUCGAUGUCAGUUAUUUUUCCUUGAAUCUUGUAUUGUCUGCUUACCACAAUCCGGCCACCUCAAGCUUUCUUCACAAUUCAAAACAAAAGAAUGGACUCAGUCAGUCCUUAUUAUUAUCAACAAUUUUUUUUCUUCACUUUUUUUUUCAAUUUCUUUUUUUUUUCAUUUUCAUUUUCCAUAGUUGAUCGAACCUGAUGUGGGUUGCCUACGUAUGAUGACGCCGCAUGAAUCAAAUCUUGCGUAGUUCAGGAAGAUUAGAAAUAGAGGAAAUAAACUAAAUUUAUGUUUUUUUGAAUUUCGAAUUUUCUCUGUUCUUUUACUUUUUUUCAAAAUAAAGACAUAUAAAGAAGAAAGAGAAUAUUUUUGGAUUUUUAUUUUUCUUCAGUGUUUUUGCAAAGAAGGACUUCUAAAGAAGAAAGAUUUUUUUUCUUUUUUUUUUUUGAAUUUCGACCUUUUAUUAUUAUUGUUUUUUGGAAUUUGGAACGAUAAAAUAUUUAAAGAAGAAAAAAAAUAUUUUUGCAUUUAUAAAUUUUUAUUCUAUAGUUAGGAUAAAAGUACUUCUAAAGAAAGUAUUUUGAAUCUUGAAUUUUCUUUUCAAUUUUCGGAAGAAGAAUGAAAAUAUUUUGAAAUUUUGUAAGAAGAACUUCUAAAGAAGAAAGAAAAAUAUUUUAAGAUUUUGAUUUUUUUUUAAUUUUUGAAAGAAAUACUUCUAAAUAAAAGGGGAGAUAUUUUUGAGUCUUAAAUUUUCAUAUGAAUCUUUAAAAGAAGAAUGAAAAUGUUUUUUUUUUGGGAUUUCAAGGAAAAUUAGAAGAAAAUUUUUUUUUUGAUUUUUUUUAAAAUGGUGUCUCAAAGAGAAACUUUUCUAAAGAAUAAUAAUUUUUUUUUUGAAUUUUUGAAAAUUGGGGUCCUAAAAAAAACUUUUCUAAGGAAAUAAAGGAAAAUAUUUUUGAAUUUUUUUUGUUUUGGGUUUUUUUUUUGAAAUGGAGUAAAUAUACAAACUCCUUUUUCUAAAUUUUUGAAGAAAAUGCUUUAGAAAAAGAAAGGAAUUUUUUUUGUUUUUUAUUUUGAUUUUCAUUUUAUUUUUGAAAGAGAAGCUUCGAAAAAAAUUUCUUUUGCUUUUGAUUUGAAUUUAGGAAUAUUUUGUUUGAAUUUUCAUUCGUUUCGUAUUUUUCUAAAUAAGAAAGAAACAAUAUUUUUUUUUUCUUGAAUUUUGAAAGUCGUCCCUUAAUUUUCGAAAAAGGGACUUUUAAAAAAAUAUCUUGGAUUUCAAAAGAAAAAGACAUAUAUAUUUAUUUUUUUCUUACAUAUUUACAAAAGUACUUCUAAAGUUUUUUUUUUGAAAUUUAUAAGGAAAGAUUUCUAAAGAAAGAGCUAAAAGAAAAUAUUUUUGGAUUUUUGAAAAUUGGGGUCGGAAUCGAUGAGGUUUGCCUACGUAUCUCACAUCUUGUAAGAAUCAGAGCCGCGUAGUUCGGGAAAACAAUUUAUCAAAACUGAAAAAUUUGUUGAAAACCCCUUUUUUCUUUAUUUAUUCUUUGUUUUUCUCUUCUUCUUUUUCCAUAAAAAAUCCGGCAGCAUUUCGGCGCUAUUUGAGCAUUGGUUUUACAAGUGAUAUCCCUAGCACUGCUAUUUUUCUCAAUGUAUUCUCUUUGUUUACAGGCCGGUCAACAUGAGAAUCCAAGGCAAAUAAAUGCGCAAGUAGCACUUAAAAAUGCAUCAGGAUGAUCUUUUAUUUCAGGGCAUCUGUCCUAGACGGAUCCAACCCCUGUGUUGAGUCCCCUAAGUCAAACGCAUGAUGCAAAUAAAUGUUCCUACUAGGGAUUCAACAAGAUCGUCCGGCUUUGUAACUUGUCCGAGCCUCUUUCUUAUUUCAGGGUAAGACACCAACAGAAUAUGGAUUCUAAACCAAUAAGCACAUCCCCGGAGGUGAGAAGUAAAGGGUAUCAUAGCAGUUCAUAUGUACAGUUCAGAUAAUAUCAAAACGGUAAAACAUGUGGCAUUUAGCACAGAACAUGUAAGCAAAUAUGAAGAAAAUAUAACAGUUAUUGCAAGCUCGAAUUCUUGAACCAUGAACCAGAGAUUCUGGGUCCUUCCAUCCCCAGCAGAGUCGUCAGAGCUGUCACACCUCCUUUUUGACUUAUACGUGGCUACCCCGGAGGAUGACACGUGUAUAGGAGUUUUUCCAAUUAAAGUGAUAUUAUUCGUGAUGAGAUUAAUCACUUAUUCAAGAGUCGCCACUUGGAAUAAGUUUGACUUUUGGUGUCCCAAGUCACCGAUUUAUUUAAAAUCCCAAAUCGAGAAAAUUUCGACUGUCCAAAGGAGCUUGAGAACCACAAAUUCUAUGUAAGGAAUUCUGUUGACCCAAGUGAAGGUAUUAGGCACCCUCGGAUCCCGUGGUUCUAGCACGAUCGCUGAUACUCUAUAAUUGGCUAACAAUUCUGAUUUUGAACAUGUUCCACCUAUGGUGUAAUUUUAAAUUUUAAAUCGUUUUUAUUUAAUUGAUUAAAGAAAGAUUGCAAUACUAUUAAAAUAUGUCUCGAAUAGCGUCACAUAAAUACACCCGCGAUCUUCGACAUAUUUUAACAUUGUUGAGAUUUUGGAUUUAGAUCACAUAUAUGUACACCCGAAUUUAGGAUUACGUAUCAUAAUUAGGUCAUAGGGAUCUUACAAUAAUCACAAUAGUUUGAUUUAUUAGGCUCAUGCUUAAAGCAUUUUCAUCGAAUGCUUCAAGUGUUGAUUGUUUCGUAUGCGCUUGAAUUUAUUUGUGAAAAUGUUAAAGUUUAGGAAAUUUUGCGGAAGGAAAGAAGUGGAUUGAUUAUGGAAAGAGGAGCUAGUUUUGUGAACUAUCAUAAAAUAGGCUAACCCUAAAAAUAGGCUAAACUCUAAAAAUGGGCCUAGCAUAAUUUCUGUUUUUUGGCCCAAAAUUCUUUUACUCCAAACUUAAACCCAUAAUCAAUAUGAAAGUCCAAACCUUUAACUUACUCCUUGCAACUUUCCCCAGAUAUUUAUAUUAGAUUAAAAUAUUCUUGCAAAAAAGAAAAAAAACUAAAAAUCUAAUCAACGUUUAAACAAAGAAAAAUCAAAAGAAACAGUGGCAUGAUUUCAUGUAAUUAUUAAAUAAGAUAUAAUAACAGUAAAAGAAAGAAGCAACAGUGGGACUCGAACUGAACAUCAAUUCAAACAAUAAUAGGCCUUCUUAAAUGCAUAAAGCUCUAUUUUUAACUUUAAACAAAGAUUCAGUAUAGAAAUGACAAAAUUAAGCAAUAGGAUAUCAUUUAAGCUCAUUCAACUGCUAAACAGAUUCAACAAAGAAAUUAAACAAAAGCGACAUGUAGAGUGAUAUCAAUCAAACGGGGAAUAGAUAAACAGAAGUAGACCUGAAUAGACUUGAUAACAAACCGGGAAUACAUAAACAGAAACCUGAAUAGACUUGCGAGAUAAAGAAACGAAACCAAUUGGUGGAAUCCGAAAAUCCACAGGAACGGAGACCUCCAAACGGACCUCAGAUCUACUGGGUUUGGGUGGUUCUUUCAAGCUACUUUUCGUGCUGGUUUGGGGUUUUAACGUUUGUUUUUAAGCUAGUUUCACACUAAAAUUUGUGGAGAAUUUUACUUAUUUUACGGUGAAGAAGCAGUUGAGUUUUCUGCUGUUGUGAGGAAUUUCUCAGCUCACUUCCAUGGCUUAGGUAGCUUUGUUGAAAGAGAGAAAGAGCAUCAAUGGGCGUAGGAAAUGGAGCACAAUUUUUUGAGGGUGAGAAUGAAGAGAGACCCCCCUUUUGUGCUAGCUGCUCUCUUCUUUUUGUAUUAGAGUGUAUGUAUUAUUAUAUAGUGCAGGGAUUAGGUUAGGGGUAUGAGCCUACAGAUUAUGUGCUGAGGAAUAGACUUGGGUUAUAUGAGUUUGGGUAGGAAAAUUAUGGUUUGGGCUAAUUUGGUUAAAAAAUGGGCCAAUUGCUCUAAUUAAAAUCUCAUUGCAAUUAAAUUCUUAUUCUCUUUUCUUUCUUUUUUUUAACAAUUAUAGAAAUUAAAAAUUCUAAGUUAAUCAAUUUUUUUAGAAAUUAAAGCUCCUUAUUUAUUUAUUUAUUUUAACAUUAAAACAACUAUUUAACUUAAACCUAAGAUAAAAUGCUAAUCUAAAGACUAAGACAAAUAUGUAAAAAUGACCCCUUUUUAGGAUUUUUCUAUGAUUUAAAAAUAUAAAAAAAGCAUGAAAUGCAAAAUAAACAAAGAAAUAUUCCUAAAAUUAAUCAAAAUUAUUUUUGGUCUAUGUUUUAGGAGUUAGUCUCAUUUAGGCAAAUCACGUGCUCACUGGGAGUCGAGACCCUAUAUCUAAAAUAAAAUCAACUAGGGUGUGGAGAUCCUAUCCGAUAAAUGCUCUAACGCUAACAUAUUGGCUUUGUUUUGCUCCUCUUUGUUACUUUCAUUGUUAUUAUAACAGAGUGUGGUUCGUUUGUGGCACUUUGGUGAUUCAUCCAUACAACACCAGAAAGCAAAAGGCAGUUAUGGCUAACAAAGAAACAGAUGCUAUGGUUGUACACCCGCUAAGGGAGAUUGUAGAAUCAGAAUCAGAACUGAAAGAGAAAGUCCUAAGGUUGAAACACUAGAUGGUAGAAAUGUAUCAAUCUUGGAUCAAGGGGAAUCCUCCACCUUUAUUCCCCACUAACUACACUAAAAACCUUAUAACUAUCCCACUACUAUCACAAUCCCAGGUUCCCACUACCGUUGACCUUUCUCCUCAAAAUGCACCGAGCUUUACCCCUUAACAAAAUUACCCUGGCAUUUCCUCCCAAACUUUCCAUGCUUCACCAGCCAAAACAACCGUAUUCCCAGCUUCAGAUACCCAAUACUAUGCCCCGGAACCCACUUUCAAAGUCCCAAAUCCUUACUCCUACACUUCCCACUUUGAGCCUCAUGUUGAAUUUGAGAAAACAACCAAGAAUGUAGAGCAAGAGGAGAUAUUUAGGAAGGUAAAGAGCCUAGAGCAAUCAUUGAGAAAUAUGCAAGGGUUAAGAAGCCAGGUGAGUGUGGCGUAUAAGGAUUUGUGUUUGUUCCUUAAUGCCCAACUGCCUACCGGGUUCAAGAUGCCCGUGUUUGACUUAUAUGAUAGACAUGGGGAUCCUAUAGCUCAUCUGAGAGGUUAUUGCAGUAAAAUGAGAGGCGCCAGGGGAAAAGAUAAAUUACUGAUGGCGUACUUCCGCCAAAAGCUGAAUGGGGAAGCUCUAGAGUGGUACACCCACAAGGACACCAGAAGGUUGUACACAUGGGACGAUUUGGCUCAGGGCUUUGCUCGGUAUUUUCAGUACAACAUAAAUAUUGUCCCGGAUUGCCUUUCCCUGACCAUGGUAGAAAAAGCUUUAGAGAAUAUGGAUUCCAAUGGAGGGAGCAAGCUGUACGGGUCAAUCCUCCAACGGAAGAAGAUGAGAUGGUUGAAUACUUUCUUCAAGCCCUAGAGCCUACUUACUUCGGCCAUUUGAUCUCAUCAAUUGGUAAGUCUUUCAAUGAUAUGGUAAAGAUUGGAGAAACGGUGGAAGAGGUAUUGACGUCAAACAAGAUCAUGAGCUAUUUUGCCUUAAAAGCCAAAAUACAGACAAUUGAGCACGACACAGGAAGCUUGCUGGGUCAGAAGGAAUAUGAUGAUGUUUCCAUGGUUGUCUUAGGAUCACGACAUGGCCCAACGGGUCCACCUCAUCAAUAUGCUCAGCCUCGACCCUGACCCCUAACCUAUCCUUGAGCUCCACAUAAUCCAUCUCAGUAGUAUCCUCUUAACAACGUCUAGUCAUUUGUUCAACCACUGGGUCACUCCUUAUGGUGAGUGCCAACACCGCAUAAUACUUUUUCACCUUCAUAAUAUUUUCGAGCACCUAACAACACUAGAAAAUAGGGUCAUAGAGGGGAAAAAGAAAUAAUUUUUUACUCCAAUCGGAGAAUCCUACACAAGUUUAUUUGAAAAUUUUAAAUAAUUUGGCCUGAUUGAGCCACUCCUCGACUAUACUUCGGACCCAUAUGCAAAAGAUUUUGAUCCUAUUGUACGGUGCAUGUACCACUCAAAUGUCCAAGGACAUAGCAUUGAAGAUUGUCGUGCUUUGAAAAGGGAGAUAGAAAGAAUUAUUCAAGAAUGGAUAAUUGUGGUCCAAGACAGUAACACCCAGAAUAUUGCGUAGAAUCCUUUACCCGUACAUGAUUAUGCACACUUUAUACGGAAGAUGCUUGAUGACAGGGAGUAUGAGAAUCGUCUUGAGAACUUGCUGACUGAAGUAAAUGAUAUUAAAAUUGGUGAAGGUCCCAGUAAUUUUUAUGUGCAACCCAGUAACUAAGAUGCCAAGCUUGGUAAUUAGAAAGACACUCCUUUCUUGGCUAGCCAGGGAGGACUUUUGGUGGUUUAUUUUGUUGUCAUUUUCUUUGUCCGGAUUAUUUUAGGGCUGUAAUCCAGAUAUUGUCUUGUGGCUCAAACUCUUCUUCUUCUUCUUCUCAUUUUGUCUAGUUCGUGUAGUUGUAGUAACUCGUCUUAUGUUAUUUAGGAUUGUUCCAAGGUUUUAACCCAUGUCUAUUUUGCUUGUUUUGUACAAACCCUUUUCAUCAUCUGUCUAAUGCAUUCUCCUAUUUUCUGUUAGUUCUAGUCAGUUUUUGUUUAGGUCAUUUUUUUCUUUUAUAGUUCUUUUCAUAACGACUCUAGUGACAUGACAUGCACGCAUAAUUCUCAUCCUAAUCUUGAAAGUUAGUUUACUCAUGAAGCAAUGGCACAUUUUUGAAUAUUAUAAAAGGAUGUGUUUGUGGAAACGAUUAAAGAUUCAAGCAUUCUGAGAUGACCUAAACUUUGAAUUGAGUGAAACUGAGGCAAUAAGCCUAUGAAAUUAAGAGGUUGAUAAGAGUAUACAACAAGGAAAUGUCUCUCAAGUAGUUUGAGGUAAAUAAAUUAGCGCUGAAAUGCAUUCUUCCACAUCAAGAUAAAGUUGAGUGAAGUCUGCUUCGAACUGGCAAGGGUCAUUCAUUGGGACAAAGGUAUUGUUCAUUGGCACUUUUUGUUUGUAUUGAUGCCAUCAAUAGAGAUUGUGUAUGAUUUCUUUGCUUAUCUUCAAGUGCAUGUUUGUACUUGACAUUUUUAAUGUUUGUAAGACGAAGGCAUUUUAUUCUAUUGCCCAAACAAUUUUAUCUUUUGCUACCCUUUUUUGAGCCCUAAUUUUCUGUUUCAUACCCCUCUUUUGGAAUCAUAAAUAGAGUUAAGAACUAGAAAAGGAAAAGAAAACGAGAAAAAAAAGAAAAAAAAAGAAAAAAGAGAAAGAGAAAAGUAAAAAACAACAACUGUGUUGUUUGAACUAUAUUUGACCUGAUACUUGUCACCUUAGGAUAUUUAGGCUGCCUUAUGGUUCGGUCACGCCAAAUAAAAUAUUUCAUAAUACCCCCAAGUCAAGAAUGGGUAUUUUCUUAGAAAUUCCAUUAAAAAUCCAAAAAACAAAAACAAAACAUUCCCCAAACUCCAAGAAAUUGGGGUAGAAGUUUUAAUUUUGCCGAAAGAUCUUAUUCCAAAAGUUGUAAUUUUAAACCCUUUCAUAUUAAAUUAUUUUGAGCAUUCAUGGCACUCUUUGUUUCUAACCUUGUCCAAAAGCCUACAUUACGGUCCAAAGAAAGACCUUCCGACCAAUCUUUGAGGAUGCCUAAUCAAAUGUGUGGUGAAAUUAGGAUCUUCCUAUAUCUGGUUAACACCUUGUUCUCAACACAAAAAGAGAAAAAGCUAAAAUAAGAGAGUCUUAUCGGUGAAAACCCUCAUGGGAAACGCAAGGCGACGGUGAGUUGAGAAAAAGAGCAAAAUGAGAGAGACUUGAUGGUGAAAACCAUUCAGGGCACUACAAGUUGAUAGCAGAUUGUGGAUUAGAUAGGACAACUGAAGCGUUGAAGCCCAGUUUCACAAUGAAGAGAUACAGCAAGAGUUGAGUAUUAGACUUGCUUGAGAGAGUAGGCCACUUCAUCCAAAGGUACAUGUCAUGGUCAUUAGAGUUGGUAUCCAUAUCUGAUAAGUUUUUACUUUGUAAUUUUCUUGUUAGGUAUCAUCUUUUUCCAUUGUCCCUUACUCUUUUCUUUUUAUCUUUUUACUUCCUCUUCUUGAGUCUGUUUUGUUAGAAAAAGUAAAGAAAUGACUUUAAAAUCUGCUACCAGCUUUCCAAUUGCACAAAGCGGAUUUUGGCUAGCACAUCAAAAUGGCAUAAGUCAGGAAAGAAUAGUAUGCGUACUGAGGUGAUAACAUAGCAUGCUUUGGGAUUCAUUUGAAAUGCAAAGGUUCGGUAAAUGUCAAUUCAUGAGAAAAAUGCAACAAAUAGAGGAUAUUGGGAUCAAACAGAGCAGAGGUGUUUUUUGGUGAUAAGGGUUGAAAGAAAUUGGGUAGUCGAUAAUAGGCAAGGUUUUCCAAAUUGAAAUCAAAGUUAUCUUGGCAAGUGCAGAGACAGCCGUCUUCAUGGUCAAGGCACAAACUAACUACCGUGUUUUAAACUCACAAGUUUUCUUUGUCUUAAACAGGGAUGAAGGCUAUGUUCAUAACAAAGUUUGAAUUUUUCAGGUGUAAUGCCCUAAUUCUGCUUGUGCAAAGGCUAUUUAGAAGAUCACACAUCACCCCUAGGAUAAGCACUUCCCAAUAUGCGCCUUUCAAGUUAUAUUUUCUUUUAGGAGGCACACUUCCUAAAUUGGAUUUUACCCCUUGGAGAUGCACUUCCUAGUCUGGGUAUUUCAAGUUAUAUUUUUUAUUAUAGAAGACGCACUUCCUAAUGUUGGUCAUUUAAAUUCAUCCCUUGGAGACACACGUCCUAGUUGGAGUCAUUAAAGUUUUACCCAUUAGGAGAUGGACUUCCUAGUAGGGGUAUUUUAGAUUAUACUUGUUAGGAGACACACUUCCUAGCUUUGGUCAUUUAAAUUCAUUCCUAGGAGACUUGCUUCGUAGUUUGGGUCAUUUAAGUUCAUUCUUAGCAAACGCACUUCCUAGCUUUGGUCAUUUAAAUUCAUUCCUAGGAGACACACUUUCUAGCCUGGGUCUUUUAGGUAAUAUUUUGUUUUUAGGAUAUGCAUUUCCUAAAUUGAGAUUUUAUCGUAGGAGACGCACUUCCUAGCUUUGGUCAUUUAAGUUUAUUCCUAGGAGGCGCACUUCCUAAUUUGAGAUAUUGAAGUUUCACCCUUAGGAGACACACUUUCUAGUCUUGGUCUUUCAGGUUAUAUUUUUGUUUUAGGAGAUGCACUUCCUAAAUUGAGAUUUUACCCCUAGGAGAUGCACUUCCUAGUUUUUGGUUCAUUAAAGUUUUACCCCUAGCGGACACACUUCCUAGUUUUGGGUUAUUUUUUAAGUUUAUUCCUAGGAUACGCACUUCCUAGCUUGAGUCAUUGAAAUUUUACCCCCAGGGAGACACACGUCCUACUCUCGGUCCUUCAGGUUAUAUUUUGUUUUAGGAGAUGCACUUCCUAAAUUGAGAUUUUAUCCCUAGGAGACACACUUUCUAGUUUUGGUUCAUUCAAGUUUCACCCAUAGGAUACGCACUUCCUAGUUUGAGUUAUUCAAUUUUUACCCCGAGGAGACGCACUUCCUAGUUUUGAUUCAUUCAAGUUUCACCCCUAGGAGACGCACUUCCUAGUUUUAGGUCAUUUAAGUUCAUUCUCAGGAAACCCACUUCCUAGUUUGAGUCAUUGAAGUUUCCCCUAGGAGAUGCACUUCCUAGUUUUGGGUCAUUUAAGUUUAUUCCAAGGAGACACACUUCCUAGUUUGAGUCCUUGAAGUUUCAACUGUAGGAGAUGCACUUCCUAGUCUGGGUCUCUUUCAAGUUAUAUUUUUGUUUUAGGAGAAGCAAUUCCUAAAUUGAGAUUUCAUUCAUAAGAGAUGCACUUCCUAGUUUAGUUCAUUCAAAUUUUAUCCAUAGGAGAUGCAUUUCCUAGUUUGAGUCAUUUGAGUUCAUCCCUAGGAGACACACAUCCUAGUCGAGUCUUUAGUUUCACUCUCAUCAUUGCAGCAAUAGCAUAUGAUAUUUACAGUUUUACUAAGAACUCACAAAUCUUCCUAGUGCAAACUGGGGCAGACAAUUUCAUUUGUUUUGUUGUUUUGGUUGUAGGCGCCCACCUGGAGAAAGAGGGAAUCCAUUUCAAGUUUCAAGUUAGUCACAGGCGCCCACCUGGAGAACAAGGGAAGUCAUUUCAAGUUUCAAGUCAGCAGCAGGUGCCCGCCUGGAGAACGAGAAAAAUCAUUUCAGAAUUCAAUUCAAGUUAGAAGUAGUAGAAGCUCGCCUCAAGAAUGUGAGUCAACAGUCUGAGAUGACUUCUCAAGACAUGGAUGAGGUUACAAGCAUUACAUGUCCGAUCUCGAUUCGAAGAAGUCAUGGCAGAAUGAAUCAGCACCUGCAGCUAGCAAGCAUCAAGGUUCGUAUCAAAGUCUGCAUGAAGAAACAUUCAAGAUUCAAAAUCAAGCUUCAGUAGACUUAUAGAUAGGAUUCUUGUAACCCAUAGCUGAUAGGCUUGCUUAGUUCUUUUAGAGUUUGAUUUGAUGUAAUAACAGGACAUCGGACUGGAACCUCGACGGCACCUCUAUUGGCUCCACCUCGAUAAACUCCAUCACUGCUCAUACUUCUGAACUACGUAUGACAUGAUUCCAUUAUUGCUAAGGAUAUGUAGGCAGCUCAUAUACUAGGGCUCAGUCACAUUUUCUUCUGCUCUCUUAGUUUUUGGUCUCUUUAAAUAAAGGUCGGCUCAAAAAUCUGUCUAAUCGUUCUUUGUCUGAAACUACUUCGUAUUUCCAGUCACAGAGGGGCAGCUGUAGACAUGUGAUUUUUUACCCUCCCCGAGAUUUCGCCCAUUUUAGUUUAAAAUUUUUAAUUUAGUCCUCAUAUGGCUAUUUUAACUAGUUUUAACUAUUUUAUUUUAUUUAAGUACAAAAAUUAAAAAUUAUCAAAACAUUCCCUUUUAUUUAGGUAAUUGAUAUUUUAUCUUGAUACUUUUAUUUUAUCUACUUUCAUUUAAAAGUACACAAAUAGUUCCACUUUAUAUUCAGGAAUAUUAGCAGUUUGGUAGGAAUAUUAUUUUAAUUUUUCAAUGAUUUUAACCUUAUUUCAUUUUUGGUCUUGUUCAAUGAAGAGGAAUGAAUUUUGGGCCAAUUUUGUAUUUUGAUAAGUCUAAUUUUAGACCCAUUUUCGAAAUUUUACCUUAGCCCAUAACGUCCCCCCCCCCCACUUUCCAAUAAAUUACCUAAUACUUAACCUAUUCUUACACACAUAGAAAAAACAAAAACAAAACCACCCUUGAAGCCCCCCCGUCGAUCUUCUUCUUCAAAAACCAAAGAAGAACCCGAACUCCAUGAACCCUAGAUAAGAGAAUAAGCCAUCACUGCCUUCCUCCAAAUAAACCAACCAACAAACUCUCACACAAAAAAGAACCAACCGCCGCCGGCUCUCACAGCAGCCACCAAUAGACCCGUCACAAAACCCUAGCACUAUCAACCAAGAGGAGCCGCCGCCAUCCCAUCGCCGGAUUCCAGUUGUCACCAUCAUUUUCCUCCACCUUAACACACCCAAAACCAAUGGAAGCACACUCCGCAACUCAGCAAAAAACACAUCUCCUUAAUGCCAUCUCCAUGCAAAAAGCCAAUCGUCGCUGUUAUCAUCUCCGCCAGACCUCCUCAUCUCUAAAGAACAGCUCACCACCGUCGUCCACAAUACCAGCGGCUCCUUUCUCUGAAACUCUUCCCCCUUGCACCAAAAAACAAGUCGCUCCUCACCACUCACGAACACACAGUCGAGAACAUGGAAAAAAUCUGGUCAAAAGUUAAAAAUGGAGUUAAGUUGAGGCUAAUUCGAGGUUAGUCUAUGGUUCGUCACAUUUUUGAGUUCAACUUUGCCUCAUGAUUAAUUUUCAAAUUCGUUUGAGGUUGAUUUAUUGUUUCUUCUAUUCUAUUUUUCUUCAUUAAUAAUUAUAUCCUUCCUUAGUCAAUUUUUGCUUUGUUCCGUUGAUGCUAUGAGUUAGCAUGUGAUUGUUGUGCCUUGGUAAUUUUCAUGUUCUUGUUCUUUUGCGUUUGAUUCCCUGCAAGUAACUCCAUGUUGAUCGGGAGAAGAAUAGAUAAGAUUUAGCUUGUUUAAUCUAAUUCAACAUCAGAUGGGCCUUUAAAUUGAAAGUAAAACUUAGAUCUAAAUCAUUUUGAGAAAUAAGAAAGCCGUAGGUAUUGGGAAAUGUUUGAUAAACUUCAAGAGUUGUUAGAGGGAUUCAUGGUUAAAUAUGAAUGGCAAUUUAGAUUUAAAAUAUUUUUAUUAUUACUUUUAUUUAUCGUUCUUCAAUAAGAGCAUGCUUAGGCCGUCAACACUUGGGUAGGCAAGCCUUAGGAUUACCCAAAUCUCUAGUGUAGACUUAAUUUUGGAGUCUAAAGUGUUUUAAAGGAAACAAUCAUUUUUUUAAAAAAAACAGUGACUUGGCACACCAAAAUCAAAGUUAUGUGACGAUUCUGAAUAAUUUCCUUCUGAACACAAUUUUGUCACUUUCUUGAGCUUUACAAAUCUUUUUUAUUUAUUUUAAGAGGGUUAGUAAGUUUUUAAAAGAGGGUGUGACAAUUGUUUUGAUCACUUAAUCUCGGCCCAACUCUUUCGAUGAAAAUCUCUAUUGCUCGUUGGCUUUUUGUAGAUCAAUCUCUCUUCUAAACCCAUUGAUCUUGACCUUCCAAAAUGUCACAUAAUGGUUCACCCAUGUGGGGCUUUGGCCUUUUCAUCUUGUUUUUCCUUUUUGGGCACUUGGCUUUGGAUUUUAUUCCUUUUCAAUAAUUUUGACUUUGAAGCAUCGGCCAUCAUGGACAGUCGAGAUCAACUUGAUGCACCUACUGAGGCUGGAUGCUUUACCUUGAAUUUGAUUUUUGUUAAGCAAAAUUCUGUAAAACUAAUCUUGAUAUCUUUUCUUUGUAUUAGUUUCGGAUAAGGACUAAACCGAAAUUGAUUCAAAUAAAGGUAAACCAAGGACCGGAUAAUGAAUUUAAUAAGAAGUGUCCCAUUCGGGGGAAGAAAGAAGGACUUAUCUAGAAGCAUGCAGACUUCAAUAGACAUAAAAUACUUUUUGGACUGGAUAUUUUAUUUGUGAAACCAUCUAAUCUCUCAUAAACCCAACAUAACUCAUGUCUUAAAAGAAGAAACCUUGCCAGGACUUUAUUAGCGCCGAUAGUUGUAGGAAUUCCUUCUUUUCGAUUAGUGGCGCCAUUUGCGGGUUUUCGCCAAUUGACCUCCCUUAUUUCUCUUCUUACCGUUACCUUAUGGUGCUCCUUGCGAUUUUUCACUAACAAGACUCUCUCAUUUUUUAGUUUCUCUGCUCACCAUCACCUAACAGUGCCCGUGUGGGUUUUCACCAACAAGACUCUCUCAUUUUAUUUUUCUCAUUUUGAUUGCAUCGGAUCCAAGUAGUUGCGUUCUCUGAUCUUUGAACAUUCUCACCAAUUGAUCGAAAGGACUUUAAUAGGGUUUGGGAUAAAAAUAAUUAGGACCGAAUUACAAUUUUUGGAACCAUUCAGGCGGGGUCAUCGGUGAACCAUUAUAACAUCUACCCUAGUUUCACUUUUGGGGAAUUUGAAUUUUUGUUUUGAUGUGAAUGAACCCCAGAGAGAGGCUGCCUACAUAUCCUUUUAGAAUUAAGCCGAAUGUAGUACAAGGAAACUUUUCUUUUAUAUUUGAUUGUUGAUUUCUUUUUACAAAAUGUUUUUAGGUUCCAAAUAGGGUAAUCAAAGAAGGGUAACCGACUCAAAGGGUUAGGAAAGGUUGAAGUGUUUGGGGUAGCGAUAAUGAAAGGCUUCGUUAUCCCAAUCGGAUAAUAUUGGUACCAUAAAAGGGUUAAAUGUAAUACCUUUUUACUACGUCGGCAUUUACAGCUAUUUAAGGAUCAUUUCCUUCAAUGUCUCCUAAGUAUAAUGCCCCUUUCGGCAAUAAUUUUGUUAUAAUAUAUGGGUCCGUCCAGUUAGGAGCGAACUUUCCUUUUGCUUCCUUAUGAUGAGGGAGAAUACAUCUCAAAAUGGUUUGCAUCAAUUCAAAAUUCCUAGGCCACACUUUCUUGUUGUAGGCACGGCCCAUUCUUUUUUGAUACAACUGCCCGUGGCAAACUGCGUCCAUCCACUUUUCAUCAAUCAAGGUUAAUUUUUCUAUAGGGGUCUUGACUCACUCACUAUCCUUAAUUUCAGCCUCAAUGAUGAUUCAGAGAGAUGGAAUUUCAACCUAUACGCGUAUUACGGCUUCAAUACCAUAAACCAAUAGAUAUGGUGUUGCUCCGACUUAUGUGCACACAGUUGUAUAUCCUAACAAUGUUAACGGUAACUUUUCAUGCCAUUGUCUCGAACUUUGAAUCAUCUUUCUAAGAAACUUCUUGAUGUUCGUAUUUGCUGCUUCAACAACACUAUUAGCUUUGGGCCGAUAAGGGGUAGAAUUCGAUGCGUAAUCUUAAAUUAUUCCCAUAUUUCCCUCAUCAAAUGAAUGUUCAGAUUCUUAGCAUUGUCCAUAAUGAUAGUUAUAGGAAUACCAAAAUGGCAGAUUAUAUUGGAGUGCACGAAAUCCACCACAACUUUCUUAGUGACGGCUUUGAGAGUGACUGCUUCAACCCAUUUUGUGAAGUAACCAAUGGCAACCAAUAUGAAUCUAUGCCCAUUUGAAGCCUUCGACUUGAUUGGCCUAAUGACAUCCAUACCCCAAGUAAUGAAUGCAAUGGUGAUGACAUAGGAUGCAAUUCUAAAGGUGGUGCAUGAAUCAGGUCACCGUGCACUUGACAUUGAUGACAUUUUCGGAUAAAACUAAACCAAUCAUUUUCCAUAGUCAUCCAAUAGUAACCUGCUCGAAGGAUUUUCUUUGUCAGGACGUAUCUAUUCAUAUGGGUCCACACACUCUGGCGUGUACUUCAUGGAUGAUUAUUCCGGCCUCUUGGGCACUCACACAUCGUAAAUGAUUGAGAUCUGGAGUCCUUUUGCUAAGAUCUUCCACAUAUUGCAUGUAUAGAAUAAGCUUGAAUCCCGAGUUUCCAAUUCACCCUGAUCUUGUCGGAUAAUCAAGUCCUAAUCUCCUAUAAUUAACAAUUCUUCAACAUUUUGGUCGAUUUCCAUGUUCAUACCCGUAGUGCAGGCUACAUACUCAGCAGUGUUGUUGGUGCAAAAAAACUAAAGCUGGGUUGUGGCCGGAUAGUGCUGACCACUGGGUGAGAUCAAGAUUUCCCCAAUCCUGACACCUUUUGUGUUCACAGCUCCAUCGAAGAAUAUUUUCCAAGCAUUAGUGUCUACUGUGGUUACCUCAACAUAAUUUAUUUCCUUGUCCAUAAAGUGAGUACUCAAAGGCUGAUAUUUAUCAUCAACAUGAUUUUCAGCCAGGUGAUCUGCUAAAGCUUGGGCUUUUAUUGCCGUGCGGGGUACAUAGACUAUGUCAAACUCGGUGAGAAAGAUUUCCCAUUUCUCUAACCUCCCUAUGGUCAUCGGCUCUUGGAAUAUGUACUUCAAUGAUCCAACAUAGUGAUGAGAUAGGUGGUGUAGACUAACAAGUAAUGCCUAAGGUUCUUAGCGACCCAAGUUAGGGCAUAUCAAGUCCUUCCCAACAAAGUGUAUUUGGAUUCAUAGCUAGUGAACUUCUUGCUCAAAUAGUAUAUUGCCUACUCUUUCUUCCCCUUCAUAUCAUGUUGCCUGAGGAAACAUCCGAAGGAAAUCUCCAAGACUGUCAAAUACAAAAACAAACGCCUCCUAGGUUCGGAAGGGACCAAGAUUGGUGGAUUCGACAGAUAUUCUUUGAUUUUGUCGAAGGCUUCUUGACACUCAUCUAUCCAUUGAAUCGUCGCAUAUUUCUUCAACAUCAUAAAUAUGGGCUCAUAUGUGAAUGCCAAUUGAGCAAUGAACUAGCUAAUUUCAUUCAACCUUCCCAACAUGCUCAUAACCUCUUUCUUGGUUCUCGGAGAAUGCAAAUCCCGAAUAGACUUUAAUUCUUUAUUGGAUCUACCUUGAUGCUCCUCCGACUGACUAUAAAUCCCAAAAGUUUACCAGACAAAACCCCAUAUGUACAUUUAUCUGGAUUUAUCUUCAAGGCAUACUUAUGCAGACGCGCAAAGAACUUUCUCAGGCCGCUAACAUGGUCAUCCUGUGUUCUAGAUUUAAUGAUCACGUCAUCCACAUACACCUCGACUUCUUGGUGCAUCAUGUCGUGAAAGAUGUCAGUCAUAUCCCUCAUAUAAGUUUCUCCAACAUUCUUCAAACCAGAAGGCAUGACCCUUGUAUAUUAAAGAUAAUAAACUAAUAAAAGCAUUCGAGUUACACCUUGGAAUAACUCGGAAUGCAGAAAAGGUGGCAAGACUAGACUCUCGGGAUUCUCACCUGACAGGGAAUGAAGUAGCCUUCCAAUUUUGCAGCUUGGCAUCGGGCCCCACAAAUUUCACCUUAGUAAUGCUCGCGCCUUCACCUGGCUGGACAAUAUAAGCUUCAUUUAACAUUUGCCUCGUGGCUCCACAUAUGUCCUCAAUUCCUCGGCCAUGAAGGCCUCAUCUUCUUCUUCUUCUGUGUACUUUAGCUUGAUGAAUAUUUUGGAGAGACGCAUGACCGGCUGAGGUAGAACCCACUCGUCAUUCUUACGCUCGUUAGCCCAUUUCACAUCAACUUUUGUAGCUUGGAAACCGACACCAAAAACGUUCUUACUAGUGGACAAAGUGAUAGGUUCCGUGAUACCUUGUAAAGAUACCACGAGCCCCUUCCCGGGCUUAUACCCGUGCUUGAUUAGUAGGGACCAUGAUUUAUGCAUUUGACAUAAAGGGUUGAGGACAUAAGAUUCCUUCCUUGCAUUGAUCUGCGACCACAACCUCAAAAUAUUGAUAGGCUAUGUGCUCACUAACUUCCCUAGCUUCGAGACAUGGGACUGGCGGGUCCAGGUAAAUUGAUUGCUGGUCUUCUCUAUGAACCACAAUUUCCUGAUCUUCGUGUUCAAACUUCACCAUUUGGCGGAGGGUAGAAGGUACGACCCCCGCAACAUGGAUCGAAGUCCUUCCUAAAAGAAAAUUAUAUGAGAUUUCCAUGUCCAAGACUUGAAACAUCACUUGGAAAUCUGCAGGACCGAUAAGCAAGAUCAAAUCAAUUUCCUCAAUUAUGUCCCUGUUAAUGCCAUUGAAAACGUGCACACAAACAUUAUUAGGCCUGAUCCUCUCAAUCCCAGUUUCUAUUCUUUGCAAAGUUCAGAGAGGGCGUAUGUCGACCUCUGAUCCGCCAUCCACCAUGACUCUUUUUACAUAGUACCCUUCACACUUAACUGUCUGAUAAAGAUCUUUGUUGGGGGCAUCCCCUUCCGGGUGAAAGUCAUUCUUGCUAAAUGAAAUCUGGUUUACUGGGAAGAAUCUUUCUACCAUCCUUUCUAGUUUCUCCACGGUGGUUUCAAUUGGAAAAUAGGCUUUAUUGAGGGUGUUUAUCAGCACUUUCUGAUGUUCAUUCGAGCAUAUCAGUAGAGACAAGAGUGAGACUUGGGAGGGAUACUUUCGGAGUUAGUCAAUUACCUCGUAGUCUACAAUUUUCAUUUUUCGAAAGAAUUUAUCUACUUCUUUAGCACUAACUGGCUUUUUGAGCGGUAAAUGCUUCUGCUGGCAUUGUUCACUUCUUCUAGAUGUAGGUACUUCCCGGAUAGGUUGGUUUAAUUUACUUCGCCUGUAAUUUCUUUCCCCUUGUAGGUCACAAUUGCUCCGUUGUAUUCCAGGGCACUGCAGUGGGGUCCUUCAUGGGCUUCUGUGGUGCGCGACUGAUAACCACGGGCUCAUUCAGCCUUGGUGAAAUUACCGACCCCUAUGCCACAUAAGUCCGUCUUGGUACGUACAUCUUAGGUCCCUUAUUUAGCUCAAACCUCUUGGGGGGACUUAACAACAAUUGUUCUUUCCUGAAAGCUCAGGGAACAUAAAGAAUGGCAUCGUCUGGUUUGGUUUCCACCAUCUUUUUUAAAAUUUGAGGGGCGGAGUUACUAUUCUUCUCCCCCUUAUCAUGCUUUGCAACUACCUUUGGCUUCUUUUCAACAUCAGCGAUGGCAAUGAUGGCUUUUAGAUCUGGGUCAAACAUUUUAUCUUUAAAAAUCAUCCCAAUAACUAGCCUGUUGUUGUGAGCCGGCACUGGGUUAUUAGUCAUAUCGGGGAUCUCUUCAUCUUUCAGCACAACCCUCUUUUGCUUUAUUAAGUUUUCAAUUGCCUUAUUAAGAGUCUAAUAGUGUUCAGUGUCAUGCCCUUCCGCUCCUAAAUGGUAGGAACAUCGAGUACCGCAUUGGUUGGAGGGCGACUCUGGGAUUUGCCUGGUUUGGGGUACGGGUUGCAACAAACCCAUUUGGACUAGUUUAGGAAAAAGGCUAGAGUGUGAUUCACCAAUAUAUGUGAAGUUUGUUCUUCUAGGUGGCUCCCGAGUACGGGCAAUGUAUGGAAAAAAAAUUUGAGGGGGACGGGGAUUAUAUAGAGCUUGGUGUGGAGGGUUAUUUCUAGGAAGUGGAUCUCGAUUUUGAUUAAACUAUUGUUGUGGCCGAGCAUAGGGCUGGUGAGGAUAAUAAUGUUGCUGGGUGUUUGGAGGGAAGUAUCCUCUGGGUUGACGGGGGUUUCUCAAACUUGAAGUAGCCAUCGCCACUUUUUUUUCUUCUUUCUAUUUGCUACGCCUACUAACUCGCUUUGAAUUGCUUGGGACGUAUCUCUUAUAGCAGAUUGGCUCGAUAUACGACCUAUUUUCAGAACAUUUUUUACCAUCCCCCUAAUUUUGAUAGCCUCAGCAAACGGAUUUCCCAUUGCAGACAUCAUAUUCUGAAAGUAGUCCGCCUCUUAGUCUUGUAGAAAAACACUAACCAUCUCAUCUCGUCCAUCGGGGAUUUCACCAUGGCCGCUUGUUCGCACCACUUAACAACAUAUCCUCAAAAACUUUCCAAGGACUUCUUUUUGAGAUUAGAUAGGGAAUUUUUGUCUGGAGCUAUGUCUAUGUUGUACUGGAAUUGUCUGACGAAUCUCGACCUAGAUCAUCCUAUAUCUACCAUGCUAAUCUAUCUUGGAUUUUGUCUUCGAAAGCUUGAAUCAUGAGGUCUUUUGGUGGGUCUUUCAUGUUCGGGGUCCGGCUCAAUGUUCACACAGGACCUCUUCUCAAACCAAGAAGCAUAGUGUGGAUCCACUUCUCCCUUUGCAGCAUUUGGUACUUGGGUGCCAUUUUUAAUAUACCGACAGCUAUUCCAAUCCCGUUGAACUAAAGUUUCGGGCAAUGCGGCAUCCGGAUGCAACUUUAUAACUUGAGUACUUAGAUCUUCAUCUUCGGGUACAAUUUGAUACUGCCCCAAUUGUCUCAAGACCCUUUGUGGUGCAUAUGGUUGAAUACUUUUCACACCCAUUAUCCUCAAGUAGACCUUAGCAGCAGUCAUGUAUAUGGCUUCUGUCUUCGAGAUCCAUCCGAUGAACCACUCAAUUUGACUUGCUUUGAGAGUUUUCAAAUGAGACACCCAUGCCUCNNNNNNNNNNNNNNNNNNNNNNNNNNNNNNNNNNNNNNNNNNNNNNNNNNNNNNNNNNNNNNNNNNNNNNNNNNNNNNNNNNNNNNNNNNNNNNNNNNNNNNAACCCAGUGCCGGCUCACAACAACUGGCUAUUUAUAAUCUUUUACCCUUUCUUCAUAAUUGAUGAUGAAAUUAUUUGGGCUCGAACCCUAACUCAUGAAUCUGGGAUGGUGGCGAAGAUGCUCGACCAUCCACAUUUGUAGGAGGAUAUUACAACCUUCGAAGAACUGAGCUCCAUCUUUGCAUAAAGUCAACGCGCGGUAGAUAUCCGCUAGUACCAACGGAGCAAGUGUAAGAUUUUUUAUGGUGGUGAGGAAUUGUGCAAUUCUAGCCAUGUGAAUAUCCACUGUCCCUUUCUUAUUUGAAAAAACCAUUAUCCCCAAGAAUGCCACAGCAAAUGCGGACUGGCAAUGAAGUUUCCAAAGACCCUUAUCUUGUUUGUUGCUCAACCCAUUUUCAUGUGACUCAAAACUAGAAGAAUGCCCAAACAUAAAGUAUAAGAAAUAGAAAUCACAACACUCAUUGCUUACGCAGUUUUUACUUGUCUAUUUGCUGACAUUCAGGAGGUCAAAAAACUUGUGCACCGAUGAGGUCCUUGGAAAUAUAAGUUGUUGAUUCCUCAGAUCUCUUCCAAACUCAAGGUACCCGGCUAUCUCCUCCAAAGUAGGGGUAAUCUCUAAGUUCGAAAAGCGAAAAACAUUACGGCGGGGUCCCAAAAAGUUAUCAUAACCUUGAUCAAAUCAUCCUAUAGUUUGAUCUCCCAAAUGUCUAUAAGAGUGCCCAACUGUUGCCUUACCCAUUCCCGACCAUCUUGGUCCAAAUCAUUCCACCACAUGUGCAAAUGUACUCGAGCGUGAUUCCUGAUCGCUUCUGGUGUAUCUUGGAUGAUAUAUUAGACCAAAUGUAGUUCUGCCGACCAUCUUGGUCCAAAUCAUUCCACCACAUGUGCAAAUGUACUCGAGCCUGGUUCCUGAUCACUUCUGGUGUAUCAUGGAUGACAUUCAUUUGUUCCUAUAGAAAGGUAGGGUUAGGAUUGACUCUAAUGACCGCUUUUUGCAAAAAAAGUUUCUAAUUUUAAAACAAAAGACCAUGGUUUACUCCUUGAUAUGCCAAUUUUAGCCAAAUGGCUAUCUUUGCAAAUAUGGCCCUUUCCCAAUUCCAUAUGGAUUUUGAGACCGGAGAGGGUUUAUUUUGUGACACUUCUGAACUUUGUCCGUUCUUUGAUGAAAAUAUCCUUUCGAUAACAGGGGAUAUUCUAAGGCUUCUCAGUAAGAACGGUUUAAAGCACUACCAACAUCGAAUCGGCUUAUUUGUCUCUUUUUUUCUUUUUUUAAAAAUAAGGUUGUACCUUAUGUAGGUUGCCUACGUAUCCCGUAGCUGAUGGGAAUCAGACCUGCGUAAUUCGGCAAAUCGAACUACUUUUGAGAUAGGACUUUUCUUUCUCUUUUUUUAUUCAAUUCGUAGGCAAAUAAACAAACUCAUUUUGAACACAAGACUCUUUGAAAACAAAACUUUUUUUCAAACUAUUUAAAAAAAAAAAACUCUUUAAGCUAUUUUUUAAGAACAAAACUCUUUAUUGGUUGGUUUUGAAAACAAAACUUGUGUUCCUUUUUAUUGGCGAAUAAACUCUUUUCCCUUUUUUUCUCUUUUUUCUAUUUUUUUAAUAAAAAAAUGGGCAAAGUUUUGAGGUAUUUUCAAGCAUUGAGUUUUCUUUAGAAUCGGGUUUACUUCUUUCCUACAUCACUGUUGGUCUUUUUCUCUCUCUUUUUCCCCAUUUUUUUCUUGAUUUUCUUUGAUUUUUCCUCACUCUUUUUCUUAUUUAGCCAGUCAGCAUGCAAGCCGAAACAAAUGAAUGUUCACAUAGCACAUUGGAUGCAUUAUGAUGGUAGUUUAUUUUGGGCACACCUGUCCUAGACGGACCCAACCGCUGUGUUGAGUCCUCUAAGUAAAAAUGCACGUGAUGCAAACAAGCGCUCCUACUAGGUAUCCGGUAUGAGGCUGUGUUUUUCUAAGUUUAAAUCCUAGGGUUUUGAUCUAGACUUGGGGUACCCGAGCGAACAACUGGGCCCGAGGAGGGGGCAACAUACCGGGAGCUCUAAAGUCUGCUCGGCCUUGUCGAUUGCCCAACCUCACUCUAUUUGGUGUAAUUUCUACAUAAAAAGCGGGCUACGCGAACAUAAGGACAAUUUCAAAAGACUCAGAGGGGUGGCAUAAGGAGACAAUUAUAUACAAUUCAACAAAAUUAAAGCGGUAAAUAGAUGGCAUUUAGCACAAAAGUUCGCAAAAUACAAAAAUAUAAGCAAUAAAUGGGCCAAAUAAAAAUCAUAGAACAAGCUCUAAUUCUUGAAACCUGAACCAGAUAUUCUGGGUUCGAUCCCAGCAGAGUCGCCAUAGCUGUCACACCUUUUUUUGGACACUACACCCCGGAAGGGCAUAACAAAGGGAGUUUUCUCCAAUUUAACUGACAAACGAAACGGGAUUAAUUAUUAAAAAUCAGAGUCGCCACAUAGGAUAAUUUAUGGUGUCCCAAUUCACCGAUUUAAAUCCGGAAUCGAGGAAAGAAUGACUCUGUUAUUAUAGUCUACGAAUCAGAAAUCCGGGUAAGGAAUUCUGUUAACCCGGAGAAGGUGUUAGGCACUCACGAGUUCCAUGGUUCUACCACGGUAGCUUUGAUAAUACUUGUCUAAUAAAAUUAUUUAAUUACUGAUUUGAGAACCUAUGUGCUUUUGCUUCUUUCACCGCUUUUAAUUAGAAAAUUAUCUUGAAACGGGUUACGCGUACAUAUACCCGCUUGUUUGGCGCAUCAAAAAUCAUGUCACUCCAACAUGUCCAUAAUUAAUAAUGCUUUAUUAUUAUUAAUAAAAGUUCGGGCCGAAGUUGCGCGAAAGCAUACUCCAGUUUUGUUUUUAUAAGUGUAAUUGUAUUAUGCGGACGUAUACGCAAUCACACUAGUAAUUUAAAACGGCCCUAAAGAUAUUCUACGAAAUAUGAUUAUUAUACCUAACCUACGAAAUUACUAAAAUGCCAUAUGUGAUUUAAUGAACUUGAGCAAACUAAAAAAUUAUUAAAACUUGUAACCUACUUUAUUAUUACGAGAAGGUUGAGUGAAGUUGCGCGAAUGCAUACUCCAAAUUAGUUUUAGAAUUGUUGUCGUGUUACGCGAACGUAUACGCAACCACAAUCAUAUUUUAAACGGCUCUAAAGGCUUGAUACAAAGAUCUGUUGCAUAUCGUAUCUAUAUUAUGAAUUAACCGGAGGACCGCGCAAUUGUCAUUUGGUCCGGCACGGCGCACCUCCAAUUUAUUUUGAUUCAAGCAUCUCUACACUAAUCAAUAAUUUCUGCAAUUUUAAUGGCGAGCCCUUGACUAUCAUGGCUUAUAUCAUGAAAGGGCGUGUACAAAUAGAAUGAAGGCCCAAAUGAAAAACACUUAUCCUACCGUUGACCAGUUGGGGAAGCCAAAUUUAUGAACAACCUCAUAGUAUAGUGAGGAGUAAACCAAUACUGUAUAUCAUACAUUAAAAGGAUAGAUUCGAACUUUUAUUUAAGCAUUCAAAUAUUGGUGGUUAGAUAAUUAGAUCUUGAAAAACCAUUUUAGAGGUCAAAGAAUAAAAACAAACGAUGAGCUUUUAAUCAAACAAAGCAGGCUACAAAUCUGAGUUUGUUAAAAAAUCAGGCCAAAUAUCAACCACACCUGCUCAAAAAUCAACUUGAAACCAUUUAGAAUCUGCAAGUCAAUACAUCUUUCUUCUGUAGCUAUUCUCGAACCCAAACUAUGUCAUGACUUUAAGUUUUAAUACAUGAUUAAUAUCUAAGUUAUUCAAAUGCUCAGAUAUCGAAUCAACAAAGAAUCUUUGCCAAACCCAAAAAAAACUAACUCGCAUCGACCAAUAACACAUACACCUGAUUGGUUAACUCAUACAGGCGUGAACUCGGAGGCACCCUUGAAGCUACAGCAUACCAGACAAUCAUUUAAACACUAAUUUACAAAUACAAGAACAAUAUGAAACUAUCACAAUCUAGUCUAAAACGAAAAGACAAAUAGAAUCUACAUAAGCAAUCACAUUUAUUUCAUGUUCUUCAAUUUCUGCUUCAAACUACACCUCAACUACAUCCAUAUAGUUGAAUGAUACAUGAAAAUUGAAAGUAAUAUGAAGACAAGACCAGCAGUACGAAACAACAACCAAAACAGCACUAGUAGUACAACUCAAGCCAAAGAAAAAUUGAUAUGAAACCAACGGAAUAAAAAUUCCAAUGAAACUAAGAAUGGGACAAUUUCAGACCAUGCUUUUGAGAAACCAGAUUUAACCAAUCCCAAGCAUUCAAAGAACCAAAUUGUGCUUCAAUAAGUUGGAAAUUCAGAAGUCCAAAGGCCAAUCAAUCGAACAAUGUCCUUUUCAAUAUUUUCGACUUUCGUAACUUAUAUAGUACCCGAUAAAUAUCUAUUUUGUCCUGUAUUUUCUAGCUUAAAACUAUUUGUGUGUGUCCUGUGCCCCAAAACCUUGGUAUAUAUUUUCUGAAUAUCCCAAAAUAUGCUUUUUCAUGGCCAGAAAACAUGCCUUUAUAGGCAACGCAAGUAUGGCAACCCUCCAAUUUUAAGUUUGCCUUUUAGUCCUAUUUUAUUUCUUGUUUUUAGCUUGCUAGUCCUUUCUUUUUUGGCUUGUUUCCCAAGUUAGUAACUUAAAGGUCCAGAAACCACUUAAAAUCCCCUACUAGAAGCUUCUCAGUUUAUUAUGAAAGAUUCUCUACCCUUAAACUACCUAAAUUGUCCCUGGAUCAAACCUAAAUUACUACCUUGCUCAAAUCAGUCCCUACCCUUGUUAGCUUAGUCACAGUUGACCUUAGUUAGUCAAACCAUGGGUUGGUAAUGACUAGUUACACCAAAACGAUUUUACUUACACUAAAAGAAGACCUAAGAUUGAACUAAUAAGCUGAUUAUCCUAUUUUAAGUAUCACAGUCAAAACUAAAAUUAAAACAAGAAUCAAAGAACAUGAAGUGCACUCACUGGUUCAUCUGACUAAUGCAAAUCAGAGACUAAAAGCCUACUGAAUGGAUGAAUAACUUAAUGAUGAAACUGUAUGCAAGAGUGACUAAAACAAAUUAAUAGAAAAUAGGGAAAUGCAAUCGAAAUUAGUCAUGUAAAUCAAAUUACCCUAAGGCAAAAACUUAAAACUAUGCGGCUGCCAAAUGCGAAAGUGAAAGACCCUCAUUGAAACACUCUAAUUCACCCAGAGAUGGAAGAAACACUGAAGGUGGAAGAAACAUGCAGAGCACACAAUCACAUAGAAAGAAAGAAAAGAAAAACAAAAUUGAAAACUCACUACUUUUGAGGCUUUGAAUUUAGAUGACCUCCGAUUUGAUUUUUGAGAUACUUGAGUGGAAUUCGAAGGGGAAGGACGAUUGAUUUAGGAUGAGGGAGGUCUGGUGGUUAAGGGGUGUCGAUUUGGAAGGGUUUUGAGGUAGCGCUGUCAUGGGCGGCAGAGGCGGCGACCAUUAUUUCACUUAUUCGACGAGUUUGAGGGAUGCUCGAAUGAAAUGGAUGGUGGAGUUGGAAAGGGGAGGUGGAGAAGGUGGUGUGGUGUAAAAUUGAGGGCGUUUUGCGGUUGGCCGCCGCUGUGAGGCGAUUUCCGGCGGCGGUAUGGGGCGGUGAACGGUGGGAUUAGGGUUGGUGGAUUUUGGACAAGGUAUGAUGUUUAGGCUUGGGGUGGGGGGUUUAAAACGUAUAUAUAUAUAUAUAUANNNNNNNNNNNNNNNNNNNNNNNNNNNNNNNNNNNNNNNNNNNNNNNNNNNNNNNNNNNNNNNNNNNNNNNNNNNNNNNNNNNNNNNNNNNNNNNNNNNNNNNNNNNNNNNNNNNNNNNNNNNNNNNNNNNNNNNNNNNNNNNNNNNNNNNNNNNNNNNNNNNNNNNNNNNNNNNNNNNNNNNNNNNNNNNNNNNNNNNNNNNNNNNNNNNNNNNNNNNNNNNNNNNNNNNNNNNNNNNNNNNNNNNNNNNNNNNNNNNNNNNNNNNNNNNNNNNNNNNNNNNNNNNNNNNNNNNNNNNNNNNNNNNNNNNNNNNNNNNNNNNNNNNNNNNNNNNNNNNNNNNNNNNNNNNNNNNNNNNNNNNNNNNNNNNNNNNNNNNNNNNNNNNNNNNNNNNNNNNNNNNNNNNNNNNNNNNNNNNNNNNNNNNNNNNNNNNNNNNNNNNNNNNNNNNNNNNNNNNNNNNNNNNNNNNNNNNNNNNNNNNNNNNNNNNNNNNNNNNNNNNNNNNNNNNNNNNNNNNNNNNNNNNNNNNNNNNNNNNNNNNNNNNNNNNNNNNNNNNNNNNNNNNNNNNNNNUAUAUAUAUAUAUGUGUGUGUGUGUGUGUGUGUGUGUGUGUGUGUGUGUGUGUGUGUGUGUGCUGAUGUCGUAUUGAGGGCGAUGGAUGGCUAGGAUUAAACAACGUCAAACAGCAUCGUUUGGGCACUGGGCUGGACCGGAUCUGGGCGUGGUUUUGGGCCUGGUCUGCUGGCCGUUUGGACUAGUUACUUAAUACAAAAAUGGCCCAAUCGAUUUCCACUUCUUUCUCCUAUUCUAAUUCUUUUCAAUUCCUCUAAACUAAAAACCCUAAUUAAUUAUAAAAUUAAAUUAACCUUCCAACUACUACUAGUUGACUCUAAUAAUUUUCCCGAACUAAUCAAACGCCAAAUUAAAAAGAAAAACUACCAAAAUUCCAAAAGUUAAAUGAAAACAAAAGUCAGCUAAUUUUGUGAUUUUGUAUUUUGAAGAAAAUUAAACCCUAAGAUGUAAUGCAUGUAUUUUUUUUAUUUUUAUAUGAAUUGAAAAUGCAUACACAAAUGCAGGCAAAUAACAUAAACAUUCCACAAUAAUUAAAAAUAAUAAAAAGAAAUUAUUUUAUUUCAAUUUAUGAGAGUAAUUCAUAUAAGGCAAAAAUCAUGUGCUCACAACGGGCACUUACACAGAUCAGCAUAGGAUAUACUCUUUCGGCCGUCUACGCCUUAUAUAUUCUCGAGGCUCUGUUCAAUGCUCAUCAUUUUUGAGUCAUUUCCCCUUGCUCGAGGUUCUUUAUAGCCUUCUUUUGUCUCGCGGUAAACUCGACCGGCGUUGUUGAGGGUAAGAAUUGGUAGUGAAAUGGGUAGGGUCUGGUGGAAAAGAUGGUACAUGGAAAGUGAAGGAUGAUGGAUCAAAGCUUGACCAGGGAAAAGCUUGUCAUGCCGUAGCCGAGGUUGGUAGUGGGGUGAAUAUGUUAGAGGCCAUUCCCGAAAUCAUCUGGGGGCGAACCUUAGAAGGUAUUAAUGCAAAGUGAGCGGAGAUAAUGGGGUAUCUAAGUGGGGUAUUCCUGUAACUUAUUGGGACAUUGAGAUUUCCACUUGCUCUGGAAAGUAGCUCAAGGAAACCAAGUAUGGCACUUGGAAUCUCUCUAUGUUGGACCAAGCGUCCCACAUUUCCAACGGAGGCGCAUUGCGCUAUUCUCUUUAGUAGUCGUUGACUCUGAGGUUGGGACAACCGAUAAUAGGCUAUCCUCUGGGAUGGGAAUUGUUGGUAGAUGACCUUCUAAUGACAUUUCUACACUGCCCUUGGAUCUUGUAAAGUAAAGGUGCAAAGCCAGGUUACCACAAAACAAAUCACCUUAGAACAGAACCUACACUCAACAGUGGACACAACAAACCGAUUAGUUUGAAUAAAUUAACACAUAGGGAAUCACACAUUGGCGUGUGAUGCACCUAUAUAGUUAAAUGUAUUUCUACAUGUUUUGCAACGAUUGCAUGCCUCAUCCCGGCUUUUAUUUUAUCCCUCCGCUCUUUUCUCUCGCUUUAUUUUCUACUCUCUCGCUAUUUUCUUUCUUGUUUUCAUUUUCUUGAGUUCUCUCUUUUUUCUUAUUUCGUCUCUUUUGGUUUUCAGUUUUCGUCAUUUUCUCUUUUAUUUGAGUUAUUUAAAACCAUGAUUGGAUCCGAUGGGGAUAGCCUACGUAUCACGAUACCGCGUGAAUCAGAUCAUCACAUAGUUCAAGAAAUAAAUUCAUUAAAUAAAUAAACAUAAUUUUUGUUUUUUAUUCAAAUUUCAUCAAAAAUAAAAACUCCUAAUAUUUUCUAUUAUAAAUGACUCUAUCAUACUAUUAUAAAAUUAAGAACAAACUCGAAACAGACUCUAGAAUACAGACUCAAAACAAAAAUAAAAAAUACAUAAGUGCUUGUACUUCAGGGGCUCGUAGGACAUCAGUCGGUCUCUCCACGGGCCUAUGCGCAAGAUCCCCUUGGAGAUGAUCCAGGUCACUCAUUAUUUGGCGAAUAACGGUCAUCACUGCAGUGAAGAAGGUGGUUCUAGUCAUGUCUUUACAUUCAUGGCAUUUCAUGAUGAUGUAGUCAGCAAUUGCUCCAACCCUUUCCCUAAUGAUUCCCUUCUCUUGGAGAAAACAUCUGAUUUGUUGAGACCUAGCUUCUAGCACUUGGGUGUCGUGAUGGCUUUGGCCCUGCGACUGUUGCAUAUCUUCCUCUAACUGUGACAUUAAGGCAUAACAAUGUUCUCUCUACUUUAAAGCUCUUUGUUUGUUUGGCCAUCUCAUUCUCGAGGAUGGUUAGCUUUUUUUUCAAGUUUGUGACUUCUCCAUCAUAUUUCCUUUUCAAUUGCCUGACAAACUCUGCUCGUCCCUCUGCUUUUUUUUUUUGCCAAAUGUGCUUGGGCUCUUGCCACACUACUCUCGAAUUUUUCCAAAUCAUCCUCGUGCUCAGAUAUUUUACUCCUAAGACCAUUUAUGAGUCUUUCGUCCAUUCGGCUUCUUUCCUAAUUAUCAGCAGCUAUCUUCAUUUUUUGAAUCUCGGCUCAAAGUGUUCUAUUUUCUUAGGCCAACUUCUUCUUUUCCCUUUCAUCAGCAGCAGCCUGUAUACUACUAUCAAAUUUGAGAUCCCUGAUUUGUCCCUCCAAUUUGUUUAUCUUGGCCCUGUAGCUUGCCUCUUUUUCCAAUACAUCUCAUUGCUCUUGCGCUCCAUUUGUGAAUUGUUGGACAUGGGGCCUCUUGGCAGGCCAUUUAGGAUCCUGAUGGACUUGAAACCUUUUACGGUACCAAGCCGUGUUACUAGGCUCUAAUUUUCCAUUGGAUAAAUCCCACACGCGAGUUUGUGGCUUCAAGAACCGAUACUGAUGCCAAGUCUGAUGAACCCUUUCUUCCGGGAAUGCCGCUUUUGGGCCUAGUUCGAUGACUUGUUAACUCAAAUCUUCAUCAUUGGGGGAUAGUUUGGUGCCGGCCUAACUGGCGUAGAACCCUGUGUAGAGCAUAUGGUUGAAUACUCCGAAGACCCAUUAAUAGAAGAAAACACACCUCAGUUAACAUGUAAAUGACUUCAGUGAGCAGGAGCCAACGAAUGUCCACUUGAUUUUUCUUGAAAUCAGGGAACUCAAAUGGGGGAACCAUGCCUCCGUACCUUCCGGAAUCACAUGACUCGUCACCCAUUUCAUGUUCUUCAAUGCAGAUAAGACCGGUCAUACAUAGUUCAUGUAUCCGGAAUGAUGGCAAAUGUGUUCUUACAUCCAAAGUUGUAGAAGCAUGUUACAACCCUUUAAGAAUUUUCCACCCGCUCGACAAACGGUUAGAGCACGAUAAAUCUCCGUUAGGAUCAUUGGUACAAUGGUGCCAAUAGCUUUUUAAGUCAUGAAGUCGGUUAUUCCCACGAUCCCCAACUCUAUAUUUCUAUCCUUUCUUCGCAGAUUAAGAUACCCAGGAAUGCCACUAAAAAAGCUAGUCCUCAACGUGCUUCGCAUUUACCUUUGUUCCCUGAAUGCGUUUAGCCCGCAUCUGGGGUCUCAAAACCAUAGGGAUUCCCAUAACGUCUGUACAAGAAAUAGAAUAUGUAAUAUCCCUCAGUCAAAUAUUCGUCUUUAACUUCCCGGCUAAUAAUCAUAAGGUCCAGGAACUUAUUAGGAGUCGCCACUCAAUUCCAUUGGGUAUCGAUUUCUGAGAUUCCCACUAAGACCAGCAUAGCCCGCUAUUUCCUCAAGCAUAGGGGUUAGCUCAAAAUCAGAAAAUGGAACACAUUAUGCACCGGGUACCAAAAAGGUAUCAAAGACUUAAUUAUAUCUAGCCUCGGCUUAAUCUUCAAAAGACCAAUGAGACCGCCCAAAGCUUUUAUCACGGUCUCUCUACUGACUUUUCUUAAAUUAUUCUACCACAUAUGGAGUUCUAACGGGAGUUCCUCAAGGACUGUAAAGGGUUCAUUUUCAAUAGUGCUCAUCCUGGACAUUUAUUUAAAUUGAUUGGUUAAAAGUUCAUGAUUUAUUUUGACUCAAGAUAAAAUUAUUGAUUUUCUAAAUUUCAAUUCAAAACAAAACACCUUUUGUAAAUACGGCCCAUCAGCACCUCGGGAACGAAGAUUUUAGGGUUGUGUUUGCUAAUCGGCCAAAAUUUUGAAAAAGGACCAUAGGUGGCUAUUUUUGUAAAAAUAGCCUUCCGACGCCCUUUUGGGGAAAUUUUGGCUACUUAACCAAGAAUGGCAUCACCUAAUUUUAUUUAUGACAGAAUAACAACAUUUCAAAUUUUUAGGGUUAGUUUUUGCAAAAAUUGAGUUGGACCGGAUGAGGGUUGCAUACGUAUCCCACAUGUGGUGAGAAUCAAACAUUGCAUAGUUCAGGAACUUUUGACACAACAAAGAAAAACAUCAACUAUUUUUUUAAAACAAUUUUCCUUUAAAAUUUCUCUUUUUCUUUCUUCUUUUUUUUUCAAAAUUUCAACAGAGUUUCGGUGUUUUUGGACACCAGAUUUUCUAAAGACAAGUAUUUUUUCUCUCAUACCUCAUUUUGAUGUUUAAAAUUUUUCUUCCUUAUUCUAGAAGCCGGUCAACAUGCAAUCUGAAGCAAAUAAAUGUACAAGUAGCAAGUAAAAUGCAUCAGGAUGGUCUAUUGAUUUCGAGUACACCUGUCCUAGACGGACCCAACAAAUUUGUUGAGUCCCCAAAGUCAAAUGCACGUGAUGAAAACAGGUGUUCCUACUAGGAAUCCGGCAUGAGGUUAUGUUAUUCUAGAUUUAAAAAUUUAGGUGUAAUGUUCUAUACCUGGCUUACCCGAGCGGACAACUCGAGCCGAGGGGAAGGGGGUGGGGCAGCGUACCGGGAAUACAGAAGUUUUAUUGGCUUUGCAAAUUGUCUGAGCGUUCAAAAAUUGGGAGAUUACUCUAACAGAAAAGAAGUUACACGAAGUGCACACCUCCCAGAUAAUUUAGAAGACUCAGAGACAAAAGGGUUUCAUAGCAAUUUAUAUACAAUCCAAACAAUAUCAAAAAGGUAAAAAGCGGCAAUUAGCAAAUUAGGCUUAAACAUGUAAAAAUCAGAUAAUGAAUAAAGCCAAAUAUAACAGUUAUUCUUAGCUCGAAUGCUUAAGUCCUGAACCAGAGAUUCUGGGUUACUAUCCCCAGCAGAGUCGUCAGAACUGUCAUACCUCCUUUGUUUACACCCUGAGGGUAUAUUGGAGUUUUUUCAAUUAAACUGAUGUUAAUCGAAAUGAGAUUAAUUAAUUUAUCAGAGUCGCCACUUGGAAUAGUUUAAUUGGUGUUCCAUAUCGCCAGUUUAUUUUAAAAUCCCUAAUCGAGGAAAUUUUUUAUUUUUUAAAGUCCGCGAACUAGAAAUUCUAGAUAAGGAAUUCUGUUAAUAUGGGAAAAGGUGUUAGGCAUUCUCGGAUUUCGUGGUUCUAAAACAUCGCUUAAACUGUUAAUAUUGGCCUAUUAUCUGAUUAACUAUAUUUUUAAACAUAUGUGUAUUUUUACAACUUUAAACCGCUUUUAACUGUUUUAGGAAAAUUCAACAUUAUUUAAAACACCUUUUAAAUCAUGCUACAUGAAAUGCACCCGUGAUUCGUGAAAUAUUUUAAUUAACAUUGUUGAAAAUUAAAGUCGGAUCACAUGAAAUGUACACCCGAAUUUAGUUGUUAAGCGUCACAACUAUGUCCCGGGAACCGUACCCGAAGCUAUAACAAUUAAAGUAACGCUUAAAGCAACUACAAAGAUUAAAUUUUUAAUAGCAAUAUUUGUGAGGGGAUGAUUUAAUUUAUUUAUGGCACAUCUCAAACCUUUUUCUUUUUAAGUAAAAUGUAUUUAACUAUAGCUACAACAAUUAUUAGCUCUUAAUCUAAUUUAUGAGGGCCAUGAGUUAUAUAGGUUUUGCUUGAUAUGUCAUACCUAUCUUAUUGCCUCAUUUAGAGCAAAGUUACACCUAGUUAUAAAGUUCAAGUCUGAUUAAUCUUUUGGGAAGGGAUCUCGGCUUGGGGCCUUAUUAAUUAAUUAAAUAGGAAAGGGUUCAGCCUUACAAAGAGCUGCAUCCGAGCUUAAGACUUGGCCCACAGAGAAGGAGCGCGAAAACUCUUUCCUUUGUUGAGAUUUUAAUCAAGUUCUUGUCCACAUUGGGCCAAUAUCAGGCAGGCCCAGUUACUACAUUUUUCUGGCUUGGCCUAUUUUUGAAUUAACCAAAAUUUGCCUAUUCAUCAAGAUUAUACCAAUUGUUUGUUUAGUAAAAAUCAAUAGAGAUCAAACAGCAACACCAAUUAACGAUUAAACACAUAUUUAAGCAGGAAAUAAUAACAUGUUAUCUAUCAUAAUUUUUAAAAGAACAUUCACAAUUUGAAGUCAAUCUGCAGGGUUCAAUGCCCAGGCCUGUUUUCUUGGGCAUACUUGCUUAAAUAAGUCAUAAUGUUGGACCUCACUGCAAGUCUGGCCCAAUUCAUGCUAAACCGUAAAAUAAUAAUGUUCAUUAUGAAAACGUUCAACUGCCACAACACUAUACAUGAGCUAAACAAAAACUGAAUUUAAGAAUCAACAUAACAAUUUAUUUCUUCUACUUAAAGUCCAUAAAUUUACAUAACUUUCCUAAAUACAAUUAUAUAUCUAGAAAAAAUAUUAAGGCAAAAACUAACUUCCUUCCUAAUUUGGAGUCCAACUAUUACAAGAUCUUUCAAAGAAAAGACAACUUCAACAUGCAAGAACAAUAGUGUUGUUUUCUUGCAGGCUAGCAUUUGAAUUUCAUCUCUGAAACUUCUCACUGUUCAUCAGACUUUGUUCUAGCCUAGACUUUCAUAGAUAUGACCAUGUGAAAAGGUCUGACUCACAAAAAUGUCUUUAGAUACACAACCCUACUACAUCAUCAGACCAAAAUUCAGACAAAUAAUGCAGAAACAGUUGUGAUUCAUGGGUUUAACUAUGUUAAGGGCCAAACUCAUGAACUGACAAGGACUUGAAAUCCAAAGACAUGGUAUGCUUCCUUAGAGCAAUAACAAAAUGGACUAAAAGGGAAGGAAAUGGGAUAGUUUAUUCCGUAAAUCUGACCAUGUAAGGGUCAGACUAAAUGAACAAACCAAGUUUCAAUUAUGGGGAUCUAAACAUACUACCUGACCAAUGCAACAAGAGAAAUGCAUACUAGUUGAAAUAAUCAAAUGACCAAUAUUAAAGUCAUAUAAGGAAAAAAAUUCUCAUGAUAUAAAACCAAAUGGACAGACUCACAGAAAAAGCUUCAAUACUAUUGCAACUUCAACAUUAAAAUCAUAUAAAAAAGACAAAGAUAUACACCAUUGACAGGAAAGAACCAUUUGUAUUUAUCUUUAAACUUCAUCUACAAUCAUUUAAAUAUGGAAGAAAUAUGUACCUUGGAUAGCAACAGAAAAAUAACAAGUAGAGGAUGAAAGGAAAAUGGCUGAGAAACUUCAGAAGCCGGAAAACAACAGCAGUAAACUAACACACGACAACAGUCCCCAGAUAAACCAGAAUUUCGGACCCAAAACCAAACAACUUGAAAUCAAAAAUAUCAGCUAAAUAACCCAAGAAAGAUUCUCUACUUCAAAUCAUGUUUUUCAGCUUGUAAAAGUCAAGAAUGAGAAGUUUUGAAUGUUGUUCUAAAGUUUUCUGAAAUCUGUACUUUUUUAGUGACAAAGGAAAAUUUUAUAAUGCUCAAAAUCUAUGUUUCAGAACUUUUUAGCAGAGAAUAAGACUGAAUGUUGUGUGUGCUAGUAAGGAAAUAUUUUUCUUUUAUAGAGUGUACCAAAAAGCAUCAAAAAGGCAUAUUCUAACCUAUUUUUUCUAAAAAAAAAUCAAAAUAGUACAGCAUCUUUGACGGUUGUCUAUCCCUUUCCUUAUCCAAUAUCAGCAUUUAAGCUAAGGACAAUGAAAGUUGUGAAAAGUCUAGAAGGUUCUGAUUUUAGCCUAUGUGAAUAUCCAUUUUUUACCCCUUCAAUUACUGCCUAACUCAGUUUUGCCCUAUGUUCUAAUAAUUCAACUAAUUAGAAACCUUCAACUAAAUGAUUAAGUUGCUUAAUGACAUUGCAAUUCAUUAACCUAAAUUUAAAUAGCUGUUCAGAGGCUCAAUCUUAAGCUUAACAUCAAUUAAACCUAGGUAAUCCAAUCAUGUAGGCAAUCAAAUCUUAACUCAAAGGUUAUUGAAAUCUAGCAUACUUAGGCCAAGGGAACCACAAAUUAAAUUUAAGCUAUGUUCAGAAAAAUGAAAAUGGAUCCGGCUACAACUAAGAAAAGUAUGAAUUGGCUCAAAUAGACUAUUGAUUAACAUUUUAACACCAUCCUUAACAGAACUUGCAAGAACAACCAAAUAGACAAGACAAACAACAAGAAUUAAAAGUAAAAGGGGAAAUAGGGAUAGGUGAAUUAUAGGAAAACUAAACCUUAUCCUUUAAUCCAACGAUCUGGACCCAUGCAAAAUUGAAAUCCUAGAACAAACAAAUAAAGACGCUAAUAGAUAGAAAAGGAGACCUAAAUUAGGCAAAUGAAAUCAAGCAAUUAACGGAAAAUGGGAAAAUAAUCAAAACCAAAAGGAAAUCAAAGAACAAAAGAGGAAAUUAAAGAAUCAAGAACAAAAACGUUACAAGAAGGUACCUAAUGCUUAAUCUUCUAAUCACGGGAUCAACCUCGGACUUUGACCCAAGUUAUGGGGGGUACGAAUGAACUUUAGAGAACUAUAAAUUAAUUGGUCUUAUCAAGGGCAAUGAAUUCAUGGGAGUCUUGGGUUCAAAAACUCCAAAAAUUGCUGGAAAAUUGGAGGAUUAUGGUUCAAGAAACAUAAAUUUAAGAUUCGAGCAAAAGGAGAACGAUUUGGAAAUGGGCUAAUGGUGGUUUAAGGUUCGGGGGGUAGGGGUCAAGGAUUAUAGGGUAUUAAUUUGGGGCGAUUUGGAUGCUUAGGUUUUUUUUAUCAUGAAUCUCGGUUUUGAAAUUCGAGAUUCUUGUGAUGAUUUGAAAGAAACAAAUUGGAGAUUUGGAACGAGGAGGUGAUGGGGGUUCUUUGGUGUUAAAUUUGUGGUGUUGGGACACCGAAACCGCCAUAAGGCGAUUUUCGGUGGUUGUUUGAUGGCAGAGGCGCAGAGAAUAUGAAGGUGGCUAGAGUUUCUUACUUGAGGGUGUGAGGGAGAUGAAAUGGUCUGAUGUUAGGGGUUUGGAAGGGUUGACCG